AGCAUGUGACGGAUCAAAGACGUGAUCACUUUGAUAAUGCUAGUGAUGAUGCGGAGAAGGAUUUGAGGCAAAAAAGGAAGAAAACAAAGGGUAAAGUCUCAAAGAUGGAAGAAGCUUCAACUGAUGAAAAGGAUGAUGCUGUGAUUGAAAAGAAAUUAAAGAGGAAAAAACCACAUGAGGAGCUAUUGAAAAACAAUGAUGAUAAGAUCCAUAAUGAUGAUAGAACUAAAGUUGAAAAGAAACUGAAGAGUAAAAAGUCAAGGAAAGAACUAAGUGAACUCGAUAUUAUCGAUAACGGGGAAGUAUCAUUUGCAGACCUUUUCUCGGUUGAUGCUGUAGAAAAUCUGAAACAUAACAGUGAAAGUAAAACAGUUGACAAAAGUGGUAUAAAUGUUCUGGGUGGCUUGCUUGCUGUCUCUGCAAAGAAAAAGAAAACUAAAAACCAGGGUUUGGUUUCUACAGUCCCAUUGUCCCCUGCAGUUGAAGUUGGAAUGGGUGGACCUUCAACAUGGGGUGAUGAGUAGGUAUUGAGAAUGCUUUGGGCUUCUAAGUUUUCGUCCUUUAGUUCAACUACUCUUCUGACAUCAUCCCAAUGUCUCCUGCUUCUACACCCGGUUCCUUUCCAAUUGAGAUGGUGAGUUUCUAGGCACUGUUUUAUCUCCACAUUGGUGGUUUGGUAUUAUGAUGAUUUAGGGGCAGAAGCCUUGCACUCUUUUGGUGAAGAAUUUUUCUCACACCAUCAAAAACUUUUUUGAAAUUAAUCAGCUAUAUCACGAGCUACGAUUGGAUUUUGGACAAUUUGUAUGCUGAAUGGUGAUUUUUGACGAUUUGAGUCCUGUCAUGUGUGUGUUGGUGAGCAUGUGCCGACCUGUGUUCUGCUUCAUCCUAGACAUUCUACAUAUUCCUGGAUUUUUAACUUAGUAGAGGCAUGACCAAAUCUCCCCCCUGGUCCUGUCAGACCUCAUGCUAUUUCUGUUUUCUAGUUCAGCUCGUACCACACGAUCAACUGCCUACAGUAAAAGCUCUGCGUGCAGAAACGUGGAUUAUUUAUGAUAAAGCAUUGUAUGCGAGAUCAAAACGUGGCUGAGAAGGAUACUUUAGUAACUGUUGAAGUAUUACCAAUGUAUUUUUAAACAUUAUACAUGUAGUCGUAAAAUUGUAGGUUCCAGUCUUUUGGGGGCAUUUGAUACCUUUGACCUUUCAGUUUUGGCUGCUGCUGCUGCUUGAAUGAUGUCGGUCUUGUUAUGCUGUUAUAUUAUAAUGUUUCUCAAUCUUAGGUCAAAGGUUGCGACUAUUGAUAUGGUUUGCAUCUGCCUGGAAGCUAGCCAUCUAUCUCGGAAGUCACAGGAGGAGAGGCUAGAGAUUCCCGAUUCGACCAGGAAAGAUUUUUAUUUUUUUAAAGUAAGACGAUCACAAGUGCAACUGUUUGGUUGAUUAAGUAUGCCUUUCACUUAAUUUCGUUUAAAAUUCAUCACAGUUCAAAGAUUCAUGCCUUGAGAUAGUUAAGGAUUGUCAAACAAAUCUUAUUAUUUAGUCAAGCAAUCUUAUUGUUAAUGAGCAGAUGGUGGCUCUGGCUCCCAAAUAUCGUAGUUUGGGCGUUCUUUAUUUCAUUCGCUGGUCAAAAGCCCUGAGAGUAACCUUUGCUCCCAAUUAAAGAUUCAUCAUAAAUUGAACUCCAUCGAGUUGGCCUAGGGUAGUGUGCUACUAUUUAAGAUUCUAGGCUGAAGUCUUGCAUGAGGUCAUCAUUGCAAAAAACUUCUUGUUGAGGGUCUUGGCCCUCAUAUCUGAUGCUAAUAAAAACAAUUCUUUUUCAAUUGAGAAUUUUUUUUAUUAUGUCAUGCAAGAGUGAUGUCAAAACUAAUAUAUAGAGAGCAUAUUCAUAAAGUCAUUUGAUAGAAGAAGAAUUUUAUUUCCAUUGAUGUAUAAACUGAUUGGAUGAAAUGUGAGGCUCAACAAGAGGUGAGUGAGUUUGGCACUCAAUAAUUGAAUUGGGCCAGUUUACUUAGGGGUGCUGGAGGAGAAAGGCUCAUAAGAAGAAGAAGAAGAAGAAGAUCUCUAAAGGAAAGUAACUUGAAGAAGCCUAUAUGCCUUACUUUAAGAAAAAUAUAUACGUUUUAAUAGUUGAUUUUGAUUUCGUGUGAAUCGAAAUCAUAUUUUGAUUUCUUCUCGUGUACAUUAAAGAAACAAGGGUGUGUUAGUGAGGAGGAGAAAAUGGAUGAUCUAUUGUUUUUUUUUUCUAUGUUAUUUUCAUAAUUAAAAUGAAUUCAAUCAUUCUUUCAAACUUUUUCAUUUUGAUUCAUAAUUAAAAUGAAUUCAAUCAUUCUUUCAAACUUUUUCAUUUUGACUGGUGACUUUGGACUGGGUUGAAUCAUUUCUGUAUAUAUAUAUAUAUAUAUAUAUAUAUAUAUAUAUAUAUAUCUAUCUCUUCGUGUGUUUGUUUUUGUUUUUUUUUUUUACAGUAGCGGAAAUUACUGUGAAUUACGAGUAUUUUCACUGUAGAUUGUACUGUUUGGUAAGGCAUGGUGAGGCGGCAAACUCGUUUUGGUGAGGCUGCAACACCCGGACUGCAAACACUUGAUGCUGGGGUCGGCAAGAUCUAGACACCUGCACGCCAAGUGGAGUUGCAUGCCCCAUGCUUCAGACCCAAGCAAGCAAGUCUGCAAGCCAAACUUUGAUAACUGUUAAAAUAUUUUGUAAAAUGUCAAAUUCAAUUACUAGAGGUGGAUAUCUAUCUCUUUUUAUUGACAAUAAAGAAUAUUCUCUAAUAUAAUUUUUAUAUUAAUAAAAAUUAGUUUUCUUUAUAUGAUUUUAAAACUGAUAUAUUAAGAAGAAUAUAUUUUUUUACAAAUGCUAGCUACAUCAUUCAAAUUUAUCAUAUUAAGAUUCUACUAAAAUCGUGAGUAUUUACUAUAUUUUAAUCUAUAUAAUAAUAUCAUUAUUAUACAUCUCUUCUUUUCGAUGAUGAAGAGCAUUUUAUGAUUUGAUUUUUUUUUAUCAAUUAAGUUUUUUUAAUACAAUUUUAAAAAUAUAUUUUUGUAUCGAUCUACUGCAUUAAAAAAAUUAUAAAUGUCAAUUUUAUAAUUCAAAUUUAUAAUAUUAAAAGAAAGGAAAAUCCCACAGGAUCUUCAAGCCAUAAAAAAUCUACUUUACAACAUGAAAGACAAAGAUCUAGUUAUUUAUCUUCACAAGUAGUUAUUGCUUAGAUUUUUUUUCCGGUUCUUAAGAGUCGGUGUGCCCAAGAUAUUUUCACAGCUGCUGGGACUUCAAGGAGAAAUAAUUUUGUAUUGUUAAACCUGAUUUGACUAGUUAAUGAGUUGGAUAUAUCUAUAACAACAUCUAGAUAUAUCUAUAACAACAUUGUUUCAAGAAUUUGUUUUUAAAAUUAAAAUAGUGUUAUUUUUUUAAAAAUAAAAUCAGGUUUUUAUCAGGUAAUGAGUUGAUCAGGUUACAUCAUAUCAUCACUUGGUUUAAUUUGAAACCUAACUUGAAUUAAGAGCUAAAUCAGUUUAAUAACGGUGGUUCUUUGUGAUUCUUUAAAGAUAUUGCAAGUUAUUUGUAAUUAUAAUUAAAAACACUAUAUAAUGAUGCUCUAAAAUACAGUAUGCUAGGGAAUUUGGGUUUUUUAGCGUUUGGAUAAUGGAUGAUUACAUGUUCAUGUCAAUUUUCUAUUCUCCAGAACCAAGGACUCGGAUGAUUGGUGACAGGCCUGAUUUCCUAUAAAAUAGUCUAUUUUGGUGGGACUUAAGGACCCUUUAAUGAUUAAGUCAGUGACUUUAUAAUGAGGAGUUGUGGUAAAUGAGCAUUAAAUUCUAAAAACAAGAAUGUUUGUUUUUGGUUUGUGUAUGAUAAAUACUGAGAAUAUGUUAUGAAAGAGUCAAGAUUAUAAACCCUUUACCUGGAUCGUUCAAAUGGUAUUUAUAACAUUUGUACCUUGAAUUUUCUUCUUUUUUCUUUGAGAAGUCGAAAGUCUUUUUUCUUUUUUUUUACAUCCAAGUGAGAAGGGAGUCCCCCUAUCAAUAUUAAUAUUGAUGUUGAUGUAAAUCUAAUAUUGAUAUGAAUAUUUUUUUACACGGUAUUAAUGUUGAUGGGAAUACUAUAUGCCUAUACGAAGUGGCCCCGUGUCAUUUUAUUCACAACAUUAAUGUUGAUGGGAUAAAUCUUUAUAAUAAACAUUAACAUAACGUCCUUUUAAGCCCAAAGGCAUCUGAGUUGAGCACGUAGCUGAGCCCAAGUAAGUUGGAUUUGACAUCUUGUUAAACCUACAUGUGUUUAGGCCUAACACGUAUCCGAGCUUAAAAAAAUUGAGUCUGUCAUCUUACCAGACCCACAUGUACUUGGGCUUAGCACAUAACUAAACCCAAAGAAAUUGGGUUAGGCACCUUGCGAGACCCACAUACACUUGGGCCUAUCGCAUGGCUAAGCUCAAAAUAGUCGGGUCUAUCAUCUUUUCAAACCUUCUUUCUAAAGGUUUUGACUUCUAUUGAGCUUUUGAGAUGUGUCAUCAUUCUCUUGGCCUCUCUAUCCAUAGGUCUUUUAAAGAAAAUGAGUUUUAGCUUAAAAUACAUUAAUCAAUCAGUAGCCCCUAAGUUUUUAUGUAUUUAAUAUAUAAAGACUUUAAAAACAUCUAUCUCUUCUUCUUUUUUUAUCAAAGCUCUUUUACAUUUCCUAUGAGUUUUGUCUAUCCAAUGUCAAAUUGUUGGGAUCCUUGUGUUAUUAGAGGAGGUUUUCUUGAGAAAUAAAAUGAUGGUUUGCUUUUAAUAUAGUAAUUAAGUAGACUUCUAGAGAUCCGAGAUGACAUGAUAGGUCAUUCAUCCAAAAAUAAGGGUAAUAAAUCAUCUCAUUUUUAACCCUAGUUGCUUAUCUCCUACUCUUUUUUUUUUACUUUUCAUAGUCUUUGUAAGAUUGAUCUAAAGAUUUAUUUAAGUAAGUCACUGCCAUAUUUUUUAUCUUAUACAUUCUUCUUCUUCUUUUCCUCUUUAGAAAAAAAUAGACUCUCACAUGAGCAAGUUUGGUCCAAGGAGUGAAGGUAUGGCUUCUUAAAAUGAUGAGUUUCAAUCCGAACAAGAAACUAGAGGGAACAACAGAGGACAGGGGUCCAUCAUAUUGGGUUUUGGGUCUGAAGGUGGACCUUCAACACCCCCUCCUAAUAAGGGAGGAGAUAGUUCUUUGUAUCAAAAAAGCUCUUGUAGUGCCUCAAGAGAUCAUCCAGAGGGGGAAAGGCUACCUUGAACCUCUAAGGAUGAUGUUCUCAACACCUUGAGUAUCAAGGAAGUGGCCUUCGCCAAUGGUCAUUAGCCUGGGGCCUGUAUGACUUAGUUUCCUUAUGAAAGAGAAAGGAUCAACGAGGAGACUUUGGCCUCUACUUAGAGGUGCUUUGAGAUUAUAGCCACCAUGUGUAUGUAUGACUUAGGGUACUCUUACCUUUUUCUUGCCUUGUUCUUGGUCGCGCUCCCUUUACUUUCUUGAUUAUCAGUCAUUUAUAGCAAUAAAACACAUCCAAAACUUAUUCUAGAAGAAACAAUUGAUGAUUUUUUAUGCAGUUUUUCACAGACAACACCAUUAAUGAUGCUUUAAAAUACAGUAUGCUAGGGAACUUGGGUUUUUUAGUGUUUGGAUAAAGGAUGAUCACACAUUUAUGUUAAUCUCCUAUUCUCUAAAAAUAAGGGCUUAGAGGGUUGGUGAUAGAGGCCUGAUUUCCUACAAAAGAGUCUUUUUUUAGUGGAAUUUAUGUGAAAUUUAAGGACCCUUCGGUGAUUAAGUUAAUGACUUUAUAAUAAAAAGUUGUAGUAAAUGAAUAUUAAAUUCUAAAAAUAAGAAUAUUUGUUUUUAGUUUGUAUAUGAUAAAUGUUGAGAAUAUGUUAUGUGAAAGUUAAUAAUAUUAUGAACCCUGAGUCGUUUAAAGAGUAUUUAUAACUUUCAUACUUUGAACUUUCUUCUUUUUCUUUGAAGGGUCGAAAGUUUUUUCGAUUAAAUUUAUAAUCUUGCUUCAUUUUUUAUACAUGAUUUGUAUUACAAUAACCAAUCUAAUCAAACAUCAUCUUCAUCAUCAGUGCAACCUUCUAAACUUCCUAAUAAAUCAAAUAUUUUACCACCAUUUCACUGUAUUGUUGUUAGUAUUAUUAAAUUUAACCUCGCUUAGCAAGUUAAUUUAAUCCAAGACAUGAUUUAAAAUGAAUUUUAAAUUAAAUUACAUGAAAUUUAUUAUAUUAAAUCCAGUCAAAACCUAUUUUGAUGUAAAAAAAUUUAAAUCAAUAUAUAUUAUUUUAAAUUUGAGUUAAUUUGAAUUAAUUUACCAAUAAUAAUCCAGGUCUUAAACCGAGUUAAGAGGGGCGGGUUGGGAAGCUUUGACUGCUGUGACGUGAAUAAGAAUAAUGACGAUCAUAACUCAUUGGUUAAUAAUUAAAGAAAGGUGCUGGCGGCUUGAAUUUCUUCAAGUCCUUCCAUGGAAGAGAAGAGAGAGUAGAAAGCAUGCCAUUACUGACUACCGCCUUGAACUCGUUCCUCUUUUCCUUUUUUCUUUUUUCUUUUUUCUUUUUCAAAAAUCAAGAACGAGUGAGAUGAGAUGGUGAAAAGUCUACAAAUCAAGCUGUGGAAUUGGCCAUGAUGCUCAUUAAUGCUAUAGUCCAGUGCUCAACUUGCAGCUAUAUUGUGCAAAGUCAAUAACAACCUCCUCCUCCAAACAAAAAUUUAUUAAAUUAAUAUUGUUUUAAUAUUUUAAAGAAAAAAUUAAAAAAAUUAAUUUAAUAUAACUUUAAACGAAAAAUAAUUUACUUCACAAUAUUAAAAAUACACUAAGUUCACGUCUUAGUAUAAAUCCAUGUUACUUAAUUUGUAUUUAUAUACGAAUUUUAUCAUUGAUUUUUAGAUAUAUGAUAUAUCUAUAUAUGGCUAAUUAUCUCAUUUUUUAAAUUUUAGAAUAUGUUGUGUUUUAAGUUUGGUACAUGACUUAGUUUAACCUCUAGUUAUUCCGAGUUAAUACACACACACACUAGUGCGUUUGCGUGUAUUUCACAAAAUCUAUCCACAUAAAAAUAUUUAAAAAAAAAUAUUUAAUUUAAAAUUUAUUUUUCCAUCAAUUAUCCCGGGGUUCUACAAACCAUGCCUAUCUCUCGCAAAUAUAUGAUAUAUAAUAUUUGGAUAUGGAUCAAAAUUUAUACUCUAAAGUUAUUAUUACAUACCAUGUUUGAAAACAAAAUAUCAUACCAUAUCCAAAAAAAUGAAAGAAUGCGCCCACAUUUUUUAAAAAAUUAACCCAGUUUUAUUUUAAUUCUAUCUAGCACCAUGCCUUCUAGAAGGAAUAAGCUGCUAAUUUCCUGCAUUCAUCACUUCUACUUAUAUUAGACUUUAUUGUUAUUAAUAAUCUCUCUUUUUUAAUUAUAUAUAUAUAUAUAUAUAUAUAUAUAUUGGAGAAUGACCAAGAAAUUAAAAGUGAUGUAAAGUCUAGCCUAAGUUAGGCCGAAAUGGGCCCAACUUGCAAUAAAUAUUUUUUUAUAUUUUGAGAAUUCUUUUUUUUCAAACUUUCAUGGGCACUCUAUUCAUAUUAGGCUUAGUCACGAUCCUAUUAAUUCUUCUAAUGCAAAACACAAAUUACCUGAUCAAGGAAAAAAAACAUAAAAAACUAUUUAUUUUAAUUCUUUUAUAGUUAAUGAAAAAAAUAUGUUCUUUAUACGUAACCAAUUCAACUGAAAAAAAAUAAAAUAUCUAUUAUUAUCAAUAGAUUAUUGGGGAUCAGUACAUGAUGUAAUAUUAAUUGCAUUGAUAAUGGAAUAUACAAUUUUUGGUAGCAUAUUCAUAAAAUUCGAUCAGUUGGUCAAGUUUUUUUUAUCAUGAAUUAAUUGAACACGUCAGUCCAAAAUAAUAUUAUUUUAAAAAUAUUUUAUUUUAAAAAAAAUAAUAUCAUUUUAAUUUUUUUAAAAAUCAAAUUAAAUAUCAAUUGAGUUUUAACUAAAUUAGAGGUUAACUAGCGAGAUCUUGAUUGAAUUUGAUCAGAUCAACUCUUAUCUCCAUUCAACUUGAAACUUGAUUUAUAUAAUUUAUCGAGUUGACAUAUUAAAUCGGGUAAGGUAUAUAUUGCAAGAAUUAUCAAGAGAAAAAAUCAAAAUUCUUAAUUUUUGUUUUUGGAACAAAAAUCUCUCUCUCUAGCCCUGGAGAUCGAGUCAACAUGACAAGCACCAAGCAACUCUUGAUUUUAAACUAAUUAAAUUGGGAAUUAUCAAAUGUUUUGAGAUAUCCCUUUCUCCCCAUGCUUACGCGAAGUAAAAUUUACCACUAGCAUUUUAAGCACCAAGCACCACAAGUGCAUGCACCAUUUAUUAUAACUAUCAAAUCAAUGCCCAUUCUAAUAAACCUUGCAGUCUAGUCCCCUAAAAUUCACUGACAUUUCAUGUUGCCCUUCACAAAGCUACAGACAUCUAAGGCUGAGCACGGAUUUGGGGAUCAAAUCGUAAAGCUUUAAGAUUCUUAUGAACUGAUUUGAGUUUUGGCUUAAAGAUGGGAGUCUGAUUUGUAGGCUACCCUCCAUUAUUUCCUCGAUCUCCCCUUGUCCAGCGAGGAAUGCAAGAUGAAUCUGCAGCCAUGGCAUCCUUGUUUUAAUUUAUUUAAUUGUCAGGUUUUGAUUUCUCUUUUCCUUUUUAAAAGUGAUAUGGGAGUAGUUUUUUGACUGCUUUUUUAAAACACUUGAUUAGAUAAAAUUAAUGAAAAACACAUGCAAUGAUGCACAAUAGAAAAUGGUUAAAAUUAUUGGAACAUGAUUAUAUUAAUUUCCUUUUCUUUUUCAAAGAAUAUAACUUGGAUUUGAAUCAUUUCCUUCUCAUCUAAUUAUUAUUAUUAUUGGUCUUUUUCCUAAAAAAAAAAAUUCCUUUUUAUAUAAUUUUUCGUUUAUUCUUUUUUAUAUUUUAAACAAUAUUCUAAAACUGAUUUCUUAAGAUAAAAUCUAAGAUUUUUUCGAUUGAAUCUUCGAUAAAUCAUCCAUAUUAGAAACCAAUGUAUUUUAAAAUAAUUAAUUUUUUAAAAUAAAAUCUAAAUGUUUUCUAUUGAAUUUUCAAUAAAUCAUCCAUAUUAGGAACUAAUGUGUAUUUUAAAAUAAUUUUUUUUCUUACAACAUUCCGUAAAACAUGAAUUUUAUCAUAACUUAGCCAAAUAAUUUAUGUUCUUAUAAUAUAUAUUAUAAGAAAAUCGUUACAUUAAAAAAUUUAAACUAGGAAGUCUAGCAGAACAUUCCUAUAAAAUAUUAUAAGAAAAUCCAGUUUUGACUUUUCAACUACUCUAUCCCCUAUAAAACCCCCCCACCCCCUCCCCCCACUUUGUCCCUACUCAAAGUCUCAAACCUCCGCUUUUGAAAAUCACCAAAGGAAACGUCAUCGUAAGCAUCAAUGGUUGCUCUCUCCACACCACCACCGCAACAACCAUCAUCAACUACCACACAAGAUGGAACCAUCUCUACUCUCCACCCCGACAUCCUCCAGACUCAUAUUCUCACCCUCCUAGACGGCCCAACCCUGGCUGCUACAGCCUGUGCAUCAUCAGAAUUAUAUGCUCUCUCUACAGAAGAUAAACUCUGGCGAAAUAUCUGCACUUCCUCUUGGCCAUCCAUUAAUGAUCCAACUGUCAGUAGCAUCAUCUCCACCUUCUCUUCCGGGCACCGGUCAUUUUUCUCAGACUCAUACCCUCUCCUCCACCACCACCAUCACAGCUCAUCGUUUCUGACAACAAGCACUGAAUAUCUUGUCUCGGCAGUUGAUAUUUAUUACAAGGAUGUUGCUAUUUUCUCAAAAGUUGAAAAGAAUGAGACUUUGACUGAUUGGUUCAAGUGCUCUCCCUUCAGGGUCGACAUGCUCGAGCCCAAAGAGUUUGUGCAGACAUUGAUACAAUAUCAAACAGGUGAAAAAGACUCGUUUGUGAAGCAACUUGAAGAAAAUAUGACGUUAAGUUGGAUUUUGAUUGAUCCAAAAAGAAGAAGGGCUAUGAAUUUGUCAAGUGGGAGGCCAGUGUCAGUGCAGAGGCACUGGCUAACUGGGGAAGUGGUGGUGAAGUUUGCCACCAUAAUGGCCGGAGAUGGAGGGGAGAAGGAGUUUGUGGAGUGUGGAGUGAUGGUUUGUUGUGGGAAGAAGGAAGGAGGGGAGAUGGAGGUGAGAGAGAUAAGUAUGGGAAUGGAGGACAUGGAAGGGAGGAACUUGACCGGGAAGGAGAGUUUGGUAGUAAUUCAAGAAGCAAUGGAGAGAGGGGAGAGGAGGAAAGGGAAAUGUGGGACGGAAGGGAAAGGAAGGUAUGAGGAAUUUGUAGAGAGGAAGAGGGAGAGGAAAGCAAGGAAGCAGAAGAUGGAAAAGGUUUUGGACAUGGUUUGCAUUGUUACUGGGAUCACCAUUUUUGUGUCUUCUUGGUCCUUCAUUUUGUUCAGGUAACAAGAAAGAGGUGAAGGGAAUCAGGGAGUGUUGACUAUUUAGUAGAAUUUAUUCAUUCAUUAAUUAUAUUUGAAAGAUAGAGGAAGAAAGAUCAUUAAAGGCAUAUCUGUUGAAUUAUCAAUUGGAUUGAUUCAAAAUCACUUCAAAUUAAUCAAUGGAGUUGUAAUUGUUUGGUUUUUGACGUUGUAUAUCUUCAUCUAUAAUAGCUUGUAAAUUCCCAUCUCAUCUGUCUUAUGGUGACGGCCAAUUCACGCAGCAUGCUAAAGCUGAAACAAUAAUAAAUUAAUAUAAAUAUAUAUAUAUAUAUAUCCCAUUUAUUUUUGUGGUUGGGACUGCGUCGUUUUGUCCUGAGUCCUGACCACAAUUUUAAACCCGUUUGGUUACUUGCAAUAUGUUGUGAUUUUGCAUGGGAUCUCAGAGCAAACUACGGUCCGAACCUUGGGUCUAGAAAAAGCUAUGAAUUGUUGCUUUACACGUUGUCUGAAGAGAUGAGAAAACUACAGUUGUAAAUCCACUAUUAGCUUUACCAAAAUAAACUUCUUGAGUUUAGCAAAUACAAUAAUCUUCUUCCAGCAAUCUCCGACUUUUAGUUAUUUUAAACCAAAUAUUUUUUUAUUUAACACUGUUUUCAACCAUAAUUUUAAUUAAAUAUAUAUUUUAAUCAUUUUUUUAUUUAAAAAUGGUUCUUCUUUAUUUAUUUUUUUCAAAAUUGCAAUCGCAAAAUAUGUCUAUAUAUAUAUAAAACACAACUAGCUGCUAGCUCUACUGUUAUCUUCUUUCUUUCUUUCUUUUUUAAUUUCAUUUUACAAUGUCCUAAAUAUUUAUAUAUGAACAAACAGCUAGUAAAUGGCAGAAGAAAGGACAAAGGAACACCGGCAAGAAGCCGGCCAGUAAAUUACAGCAGCUGGCCUGUGAAUCUCGAGUAGCUGUGCCGGCAUUUGUUCCUCCAAAAUUUUCAUGCCUUCUUGGCCAGCUCUUUUGGAGUCUCUGUGAUUUUCUUUCCCCCCUUCCUUUUAAUGAUUCGGUUGCCAGCUAAAAAUGAGAAAUUUCGUUUCAUAUUUUUUAUUUCACUCUUAAUUUCUCCUGAUUUAAUAAAGAAAGUUAAUGUUUAUCAAACUAAGGUAUAAACAGUCCUUGAAUGCAUAAUUAUAAGAUCAGCAUCUGGUAUAAGUUUUGGAUUAUUUAUUAAGUAAAUUAACCCUAGUUAACCUCAAUCCUUUUAAACCCCAAAACAACAUCAUUUUAAAAAUAAAAUCAGUUUUUUUUUAUCAUUAUCCGGCUAGAUUAUAAGUUAACACAUCAAGAUUAACCCGCCAAGCCUAAUCAAUUCUUAUAAUCAAUAAUUAAUGGUGGUCAGACCGACAUGAAUUUAAAAUCUGGGCCAGUACUCUGUCCAAAACCUUUCAAAACUGGGUCUAGGUGGACCUCGUUUCUUCUACGUAGCACUCGUCUAUUGCCCAAUCUCAAUCUGGGCAAAAUUCAUAGCAGAAAGAGCAGCCCAUCUUCACCAUUCCACAAGUUUAGAGCUUGUGGAUAGCAUUUUCUUCAGUGUCCAUUAUCAAAUCAAACCAAAUCUAACCCCACGCUAUCCAGGCAGCUCCUACGUGGCAUAAUCCCAUUGAUCCCUGGCACUUCCAUGCAAUCUUUCUCUUCCACAAAAAUCUCCAUCUCAUACAAAAUACAAUCCUCUAAUCCCAUCGAUCAUCAUCACCACCAUUGUUCAUUUUUGGUACAGUCAAUCCUUCCAUAGCAACUUAACUACCAAGCAAAUAUGGCAGCAACAUUUGCUAGCCCAUCAGCUGUUGUAGGGUUAGGCAGUGGCUCACUUUCAUCCCCUUCUCGCAUUUCUUCACCCAAGAAAAUCUGCCUUAGCUCAGGUGCUUGCUAAAUGAAAGUAGAGUAAUUUACUUCUCAUCCCUCCUAGCUAAGAAAAUGGGAUUUUUUAAUCUUAUAUUUUAGCUUAUAUCAUGGUUGAAUUUCAGGGUUUGUGAAAUCUCCGGUUACAGCUAGAAACCCUCUGGGGCUAGCAGGCACUGGUGGAGGAAAGUUCAUGUGGUAAGUGUAGAAAGUAAUUGAUUUGAUUUGGGAGAUGAUCACGCAAUUAUCUUUGUAAUGAUGGAUUAAUUGUUGGUUAAUUUGUUUUUCUUCUAUGAUAGCUUUCAGGGGGAUUGGCUGCGCAAAGACCUGAACGUGAUAGGGUUUGGAUUGAUAGGGUGGCUAGCACCAUCAAGCGUACCGGCAAUUGGUGGCAAGAGCCUGACUGGGCUCUUCUUCGAGAGCAUCGGGACUGAGCUUGCUCACUUCCCCACCCCUCCUCCGCUCACUUCUCAGUUUUGGUAGGUCCACCAUGAUCCAUCUAGCCUCAUUAAGAUAUAUUUUCUAAUUAAUUGAGAAGCAUAGAUUAUAAUUAUCACAGAGGGUUUGUUAGGAGCCUAGUUAUAAGAGCAUCUCGUCCGGUCAACUCAGUUAUUUGUCUACUCGGAACGAAACCUGGCUUGGACGAGAUCAACGGAAAAACUUGUUUAUAUAAAAAAAAAAAUCAAAGCUUAUAUUUACUGAACUCUUCAACAUGGACCUUAGACCAGAUGGAUCUCUGAUUUGUUCUUACAUCUAUGAUUAGGAGUAAUAAAUUAAAAAUUGGAUAUAAGGAUGUUCUAAAAUAAAAAAAAGAAAUUGACAAAAAGGUCCCACCGAGAUUUGAACUCGGGUUACUGGAUUCAGAGUCCAAUGUCCUGACCACUAGACCAUGGGACCGCUGUUGACAAGGUCAUCGAAACAAUAUUUUUAUACAACUUUAUACACUGUUUUAAUCAGUCUAGAUGGGCUUUUCAUAUAAUCAUUCAGGGUUUGAAUUCUAAAACGAUUGCGAGGAGUUUUUUUUUUGUGUGAAUACAUUCUACUUAAAAUAUGAUUAGUGAAUACUGGUUUUGAUGCAAGAAAGCUUGUUUAAAGAUAUAUUUAAAAAGAAUUAACUCAUCAAUUUUGUCCCAUAAAGAGUUCUAAAAUUGUGAUGCAAUGGGUUAAUUUGAACCUCUAAUUGAGCAGGUUAUGGUUGGUGACCUGGCACCUAGGGCUAUUCAUUUGCCUUACAUUUGGGCAAAUUGGCUUCAAGGGGAGGACUGAGGACUACUUCCAAAAGUAACAAUCUGCCUGCUUUUAUUUGUAAUCCAUGUAUGAUAUUUAUCUUCACCUCACCUUCUUUUUAUCAUUUGGAUCUAUUUAUUUAAAAUAUGUAUUUAUUUUUAAUCCAUCCUCUUGAUCCGUAACCCGAUUUUAUCCGGGUUAACUCGCUAUCAACUUCUAGAUUGUGUUUUAUAACUUUGAAUUAAAGGUUUAAAAGUUGGGUUUGGGGGGUGAUUCCCGUUUUUGUUGCUUGCACCGUUGGGGUAAAUUAAAUGCUAUGAUGUAAAAAUGCAUUAAGCCAAGGAAAAUACCUCCACUGGAAAAUUAAACGAUGCUCUUCCAAGUUCCUCGAGCCUUGAAAAUGCUUAAUUAAAUAAAAUAAUUAACUAUAUAUACAAGUGGUAUUGUUCUUGCCCAAUUAUAACGUGCAUGGAAACGGACUAAUUAACAAUGAUAGAUUGCUCUUUUUCUUUGAGAACAUGCCAGCAAUCUUGCUAUACGUACCUUAUAUAGAUUAAAAAAAAAAAGUCAAUCUUGACGUGCCUUGAACAAGUAAUUUUGUAAAAACAAAUGUCUAAUUUACACAUUAAACGGGGGGAAAUGUAGAAAAAAUGGUGAAAAAAUAUUCAUAGCUAGGUUGAAAUGAAAGUGUCAACUCUCAAACAGUUUUUUUACUGAUUCUUUCCCCAAUUGUUCCUCAAUUAGGGUGCUUAUGAUACAAUUCCCUACAUGACCAUGUCAUUUAUCAAAAAAAUAAUAUAUAAUUUUUAUUAAAUCCAUGAUCAAAUAUGAAUGAAAAGACUUAAUUGAGAGUUUUUUUAAGUUUAUAAGAUGAAAUUGAUAUGAAAGAUUAUUUGAUGGGAAAUUAAAACUGACGAAACAUCGUAAAUUCGUUAGUCGAGAAGGGGAUUUUCUAUGUUUUUUUUUUUUAGGUUUUCUCCUUAUUUGUUUACAUGGGGAAGAAUUGAAAUACUACAAUAUUUGAGGCAAGGAUGUUACGUGAAGAUUUGGAUACCUUAAUUAUGAUUAGUGACCCUUAAUUAUGAUUAGUGACCCUUGUAGAAGAAUAACAAAAAUAUAAGAAUAUAAUUGACGCGCAAGCUAGUCCGGACACCCACAUUAAACUAAAAAAAAAUAUAAGAAUAUAACUGGCCAUAUCGAAGUUAUUUAAAAUAAGAAUAGAUCGCAUUCAUUUUAUUUAAUUAAUUUCAACAAUAAUGUGGCAUGUGCUGGUGUGUGGAUUUAUACCAUGAUCACAUGCGAUGAUACUCUUGAUAAUAGCUAAAUAUGUACAAGAUAGAUUACUUAAAUCAAGAAGACAAAAGGGUCAUGAUCUCCCACCUAAAAUAAUGAGAGAUGGACAAAAAAUAUAAUAAAUAAAUUGAUGAUAAGUUAUAUAUAUUAGUAAGUUUUGGCAUGCUUGGUUUAGUUAGAAAGGUGGACCGUUAUUUACUAACUCUAUGACACUCAUCCCCUAUUUAAUCCCCUAUUUAAUAUAUUUUUUUCUGAUAGUUUGAAAGAGAGUGGAUGCUUUGAAAGGAUAUAUUAUUAUUAUUAUGCUUUAAUAUUUCAAUAAUUAAAUCGGUCCAUGACUUUAUACUUGUAAUGCAUUCAAUUUUAUUUGACUUUAAAGUUAUAUUCACAUGUCAUCAAAUUAAUUCACUGCAGCACUGGAUUUAAUAACACUGUCAGAAACACGACUGGCCAAUAUAAAAAAUAUAAUUAGCAUGUUUUGGCCUUUAGUUUUUUUAUUUAUUUUUUAUUGUUAUUAUUAUUAUUAAAAUGUUGUUACUGUCUUAACAGGUACAUUGAUCAUCUGCUUCCUUCCAGAAUGAUUUAGUUGGAGAAUUUUCUCACCCACAUAAUAAAUCUGUAGAUGCUAAUAAUAAUAAUAAUAAAUCUCUAGAUAAUAAUAAUAAUAAUAAUAAAUCUCUAGAUAAUAAUAAUAAUAAUAAUAAUAAAUCUGUAGAUGAUCAAUUGCUGACCCUGAGAACAUUCUCUCCUCCUUCUUUUGACUAAGAAAUGGCUCUCUCUUAUUCUUUUUUUUUUCAAGCCCUUAAUGAUGCAGCAAUCAUUACGUUAAUAAAAGCAUGAUGAUUCCCUCAAUGACAAGUGGAUUUUGCAUAUAUUACAAUUAACUCCUUCAAAUAUCAUGAAAUAACAAUAACCAUCUAAAAGUUUAGAGAUGUUGAAGAAGGCCCCUUGUGUGGCAAGAUUGUGCUUGAUAUUUUAAAUUUCCUCUUUACUAUAAGGGGAUGAUUUUAAAAAUUAAGGACAUUUUAAUCUCUAAUACUACUAUUUCCAAAAUCCAAACCCAAAAGCAUUGCUAUAGAAUACAUCAUCGUGUCUUAUAGGUUAGUCCAAUGAUUUAUCAAUUAAUGACCUGAUUUAUAUUAUGUAUUAUAUCGAAUCGGAUCGAGAAUGGUUCUGGAUGAUCCAAUCAAAACUCGGUAUAAUUUUUUUAAAAUGAUAUCAUUUUAAUUUUUAAAAAAAUUUAAAAUAAUAUCAUUUUAGAUUAAUAAAAUAACAUGAAUUAACACUUCUAACUCAUGACACUAUUGCACAAAAUGUAGCACCAAAUGAACAAUAACACUCCUGCAUUUUGAUAAACAACAACAAUAAUGACAAUUAUAAUAAAUGAUUGAUGUAGUCAGUUACGAGGAAGAAAUCCAAAGACCACCACCAUCAAUAUUCUAUUCCAUGAGUGAUGAUGCAUUAGCUAAAUAAUUAUAGGUAUUUGUUUGUUAUCAUGAUAAUAAUUAUUUUUAAAAAUAUUUAUGGUUGUUUGGUAUUGUGGCUGCGGGUGAGGUUCACCCGCAAUCACAGUUUUUGUUGUUUGGUUAUAAGCAAAAGCCAUAGUGUUUUUGGUAGGACCCACCCUUUAUGAGGGUGUGCCGCAGGUUUACUUGUGCUGAGAUUUUACCCAUGAACAGUGGAGCAUGCCUCCACUAUUUCGGCCGGACCGGUCCGAUUCAAAAUUAAAAAUGCAUUGAACCGGUCCGACCCAACAAAAUAAAAAAAAUAUUUUUUUUAUUUUUAAUUGUAUUUUAUUCGAAAAACUGGUGUUAAACAUUAUUCAAUAACACUACAUAAAUUAGACGGAGAUCGCUUGAUGACAUAGCAUUUGCAGAAUUUGAUCGCAAUCCCAAUUUUGUUCCUGAUUAUAUUUUACUUGUUGUUGCACUCUUAAGAAAUUUGUGAAAAUUAUAGUCCUUGUCGGAUGUAUUUCAUACGUGAUGGAAUUGUAGAUAGUUUAAUGGAACAAUAAAAAAUAUUUUAUAUAAAGUAUUAUUUAUUUCAUGAUGUAAUAACAAGAGUUAAAUCUACAAUAUUUAAAUUAAAAAUCAUAAAUAUUAAUAUAUAUUUUUUAAAAUUAUUUUAUAACCUUAAUUUCAAAAGUAUUUUUAACCAAACACAUUAAACUACUUUUUGUUCAAUUUUAAUUUCAACCAUAGUUUUAACCAAACAUAUAUUUUUUCAAACCAAACUAAAAUAAAAAUAAUUUUUGAAAUUAUAAUUUUUUUAAAUUAUAAUUACAAUAGUUAUCGCAAUAUCAGACACACCCGAACUGUGUCGAUAAUUAUUGUUGCUAAAAAGAUGGUGUCGAUUUAAUGCCACUGGCAUUGUCAGUCAAGUAGGACGUCUACCCUAACAAGGGGACAGAAGGUGUGGUGGCCCUCAAUCGGACAGCUUCUGUGUGUCCUCUUGUCCCAGACCUUGAGAGCCGUUGGAGGGCCCCCACGUCCCUGCCCUUGGAUUCAUACCAAGUCAUCACACUGAUUUUUCUGCUUCCUUGACCGCCCAUAGGAUGACACUGCCUUUACACAGAUCUAUCCCUGUCCGUUCGAAUGAAUUCUCCUCUGGAAAGAAUUUCGUGUUUGUAAAAACGAGAUGCAUACAAUUAAAAAUAUUCAAUAAUAUUUAUCUGAGCAUAAAAGUAUAAAUAUUUUUUAAUCCGAUUGACUUUCAUAUUUAAAUUUAAUUAUUAAUAGCAUUUUUUACAUUUAUCUAGAAUAAUUUGUAUAAUUUAUUCAAUAUUAAUUUGAAUGAUUGUAUUGCAUAUAUACAAUGUUUUUUUUUUUAUAUAAAGGGUUACAUAUUUUAUUUGAUAAAAACUGGUGGUGUAAAUCUUUAUUGACUUUCAUAUUAUUCUUUGUUUCCAACAGAAGCAAAGAAUAAUAUAGGUGGAGAUUGGAGACCUCUUAUCUCCAUCCCUUGCACACACACACAUAUAUAACUUUCACCAUUUCACCUCACUUGAAUCCAUUUGUGUAAAACUCGAUUCGGUUCGGGUCAUCAAGGAGGGCUGGUUAAUUUUUUUUAAAAAAAAUAUUAUAACAAAAUUAUUUUGAUAAAAAAAAUCAAUGUAGUCAAGUUUUAAUCAAGUCAGGUUUAAGUUGAUCGGAUUAGUAGGUUAACCUGAAUUUUUAACUAGAUUAACCCAAUUUUGUUCUUCUUAUAUUUUUUUCAACCCGAACCAAUUCAUGUUCUAGAUUGACUCACCAAGCUAAUUCAGAUUUUACAACUAAACUUGUAUCACACCAAUAAUAGUGUUAAUGAUUAUAUUAUUAUUAUUAUUAUUAUUAUUAUUAACAAUAUACUAUAACAUAUGGGGAGUACUAUAACAAUGAAUAGUACUUUCCUCGCAUGUUUUGGUGUGGCCUUAAAAAUAUAUUUGCCUGUGUUUUUUUUUUUUUUUGAUUUUUUUUCAAUUGAUGUUUUUAUUUAAUAUUAUCCUUUAAUAUUAAAUUUAUUUUUUAUUGAGUUGUCUCACUCUCAUGACACAGAUCGCAAGUUUGGCAAGUUAACCCGAUUGGUUAGGGUUUUUUUCUCCUCAUUUAAAUUUUUCCCCCAAUUUCAUCCUUUAAUACCAGAUUAAUUGUAAAUUAUACUUCAUGAUUUAUUUUAUUUGCUUUUUAUUAGGUUAAUCCGGUCUCAUGACCCAUGAAUAAUGCUUAAUGAGUUAGCUCGAGUUGACUUAGAUUGUUUUUUGUGUUUUUUUUUAAUUGAGAAUUUUUUAAAUUUUAUCAUUUAAUAUUGGUUCGGUUGAAAAUUAAGUUUCAUAAUCUAUUUUGAUUUAUUUUCUAUGAGGAUAUCUUGAUCUCGUAAUCAGGGUCACGGGUUUUGGUAUUUUAACCUUGGUUAAAUCAAGUCGUUUUUUUUUCUUCUAAGAGGUUAUCUCAGUCUCAUACCCUUCAAUAUUAGAUUUUUUUUUAUUGGGUUAUCUCUGUCUCAUGACAGGUUACAGGUUUAACAGAUUAAUCUAGUUGACUCGGUUUUUUUUAAUUAAUUUUUUUUCAAUUUUAUCAUUUAAUAUUGUGUUUAAUUAAGAAUUAGGUUUCAUGAUUUAUUUUGGCUUGAUUUUUAUGAGGUUAUCCAUGUCUCAUGACCUGAAAAUAGUGCUUAACGGGUUAAUCCAUAUUGACUUGACUCAUUUUUAGUUUCAUAAUUUUUUUUCCCUCUUCAUAUGAUUAUUUCAAUCUCAUAAUCAGAGUUGUGGAUUUGAAAAGUUAAUCCGGUCUAAAUGAUGAUGUUUUUUUUUCUUCUUUCUAUGAUAUUAUCUUGGUUUUAUAACUUAGAUGAUGAGCUUGAUAGAUUGACUUAGGUUGUUUUUAUGUUAUUUUUUAGUUGAUUUCUUUUUUUCAUCUCAUCCUUGAACACUGGACUGAUUGAAAAUUGAAUUUUAUAAUUUAUUUUGAUUUUCUUUCUAUGAGAUUAUCUUGAUCUUAUAACUCGAGUCAGGAGCUUAACAUGUUAAUUCAUGUCGUUUUUUAGGUGUUUUUUUAAUUGAUCUGUUUUUUCAAUUUCAUUAUUUGAUUUAAAAUUAGGCUUUUAUAAUUCGUUUUGAUAUGUUUUAGGUUAUUAUAAUAAUCAACCCAAGUCAAUCUAAUAUCUUGAAUUUUUUUAGUUAAAUUAUGUUUUAAUUAGUUAUCCAUAUUAUUUUUCAUCAGUAAAAUCAACCAUUAUAUAAAAUUAACUUUUUCAUGGUUUAAUUUUUUCAAAAAAAAAAAAUUAUAUCUGAAAUAUCUGAUUUUUUUUUAUAUUAAAAAAACUUUAGCCAAUCCGUAUGACAUGAUGUAGUAGAUAAGUAAAGCAGUAGGGACAGAAUCGGGACCCUAGACUUCACUGCGAGCGAACGGGUCUUUUCCCACCGAAACCGACCCUCUGAUAUCUUUCUUUGAUCACAAAGAUCUUGACUGACAAUGGACUGAUGAUAGAUGUACUGGCACUGAUUAAACGGCCUCUGAAAUUAUCACUCUUGUACCUUCCCCCUUUUUUCUCAUAUUUGCAUAGAAGCCCCUUGCUUCUUCUUUUUUCCAAUUUCUGUCCACUCAACGUGACAUGUUAGGGCUAUGCUGUGGGAUUCAAAGACAAGCUUGUAUCCUAUCACGUGUUUGUCCAUGGCCACGAAGAAAAUGUCAAAGGCCAUGAUCGUCUUAUGAUUUUGCUAGCUUCUUAGAUCUUUAAGCUGAGGCAUUGAGGGUUAAUUAUGCAAUUAACAUCUUUCUUCAUGUAUAUUUUUUCCCUUAUUUUUUUUUUUUUGUGUAUAUACAUUUUGUUUUUAUGUUUUAAAUAAUUUUUUAGGAUGUUUUCGGAUCGUUUUGAUGAGUUGAUGUAAAAUAAAAUUUUAAAAAUAAAAAAUUAUUUUAAUGCAUUUCCAAACGGCUAACAAUUUAAAAAGCAAUUGUCACCACACUCCCAAACAUCCCUGAUUUUUUUUUUAUUUUUUAUUUAACUAUCCAUGUUCCAAUUCCAUGCACGAAAGAUGAACAAUCAAUAAUUUCACGCCACAUUCAAUUAAUCUAUGGGAAAAUAUUAUAUAUAUAAAAAUCACAUGUUAUUGAAACAAAUAAAAAUACAAGUGGCCCAUAAUUCCCUUUGUAGUCUCGUGAUAAAAGUUUUCCUUUUAAUGGUACUUGAAGAAGUUCUUUAACCUCCUCCUUUCCUCAAAGAAAACAAUAGAGCAGUCGAACAUGAAUAACUUUAAUUUGGUGUGUGAAGAAAUAUAAAUUCUUCACCUAAUCACAAAAUAUUAAGUAAAAUAUAUCCAUUAAUUAAAUUAAUCCUUCGAAUUGUUUCAAACUCCAAUCAAUUUGGUCAAACCAAUCUAAUAUCAUGACAUUCAUUUGAGCUUGAUUAGAGUCCUAAAUUUAUGAUUAGAUUUCAAGGUAUAUAUUCAAAAAAAGAAAAAGAAAAAGAAAAAGAACAUUCCAAUACAAAUAACGAGGGAGACGAGAUAAAUUCGAAUGAACAUGGUCAAGAUCACGACCGUCCAUUUACAGAUGCACGUCCCUGAUUCACUACAAGAAACGCUCACGUGUACGCCACGUCGUCUUCUUGUCCUCGUUUAUCAACCAAGACAAGACAGCAACGCUAACGACACAUUUAAGUGUUUAACCUCUCUGUCUUUGCCUUUUGUUUCCCUCUCAAGAUCUAUGAAUCAAAGCUCACUAAAUUUUCCUUCUAACAUCCCAUUUCUUGACAGUUUGUCCACACCCCCACCCCCACCCUCCUUUCUCCCUUUUUAGGUUCUUGAAUCUUUGAUUUCCCACUUUUUCUUUCUUUUUUUUGUGUGUUCUUUGAGGAAUUCAAGGUGGUUGUAAGUUUGGACUUACCAAAAAGAGUGAACAAAGAGAUGAUGAGGGGUCACUCUUAUCAACUUUAACCUUCAAAUCUCUAAAAUCUUUUUAAGAUUUUGAAAUCUUGUAAGUAGUAGUAUAAUUCUUGAAUUUUGUGCCACCAUUAACCCAGCUAGCAAGAUACUUGGCACUUAUGCAUGUAUUUUGCCUCAUAAAUGUGCUAGAAUCUCUCAUCGAAGCUACAAAUCUUGCAAAUCUUUAAAAAUCCCUGGAAAACAUUCCUUGAUGCUGGUAAUUAUGUGGUUCCAAUCCUGAGAGCACUAAAACAAGGCUAUUUAGUAAGAAUUUUAUAAGACAUUUUGCUGGAUUGUUAGGAUUAUGAUAUAGUUUCAUGGAGGCAAAAAGCAGAGAGCAGCAGCAGUGUAAGAUAAGAAAGAGAGGGAACUCAUCGUCUUCAUCGUCUUCUUUAGUCAAAAAGUACAGAUUCAAGAGAGCUAUUCUUGUUGGAAAGAGAGGUGGGUCUAGUACUCCUGUUCCAAUCUGGAUGACAAGCUCAAAAUCUCCAACUUUGGCAGAGCCAAAUGCUGAAUCCACCAAGUGCACACCACAUCAAAAUGGAAGCAAAGCCAAAGAAGUCUCAGUUUCUGCAAGAAAAUUAGCUGCCACUUUGUGGGAGAUCAAUGGAAUACCUUCACCAAGAGUUAAAAAGGAUUUGGAAGACAAGAACGAGGUUAGAAGCAGAGAAAAGGUGGCAAGGUUGCCACACUUGUCAGAUCCAUCUUACACUCCUUUUUCAGAGGUGAAAACAUAUUUAAAUUUCUUUUCCUUUUUCGGGAUUUCAUAUAUCCAUGUGAAUUUUACUCUCAACUAAAAAAAAUGGGUUAUGCCAUGCAGAGGAUGGAGCGAUCUAGAGGCCAUAGUCAUAGGAGAAGAACAUCAGUUGUUACAAAGACACUUCAGCUUACUGAUUAUCAUCUUGGAGGUCUGGAUUCUGUUGGCAAUUCCAGUUUGAUGGAGGUACAUGAAAACUUUUUUUGAUGUCAUUUUCAAAUAAUUUUCCAUGUUCUCAAAAGCAUAUACAAGAUUAGGAUGGUCCAUAUUUUAAAAUUGGUGCUUGAAAAAUGUCACUCAAAUUGACUCUACAGACACCAAAUUUAAUGCAGCUUUCAGCAUUAUUCUUAGAAAGAAAACAACAAAGUACCUUCAGCAUUGUUAUCUCCAGGAAAUAAUAAUAAUAAUAAUAACAGCCAUUAAAGACAUCAAAAUUUUGAAUUCUUCUACCUGUUCAAAAAGAAAAUCUUUACAGGAUUUUGGAUUGACACAAUUGCGUCUCAGAAUCAGGACCAAACAUUUUCCGCUGUCUCUCAAAGGGCCCAAUGUUGCAUAGUAAUAUUGCAUUUUUUUUUUCAUGUUUUUCUUUUCUUUGUACUCUCUGAAUCAUCAAUGGAUGCUUGGUUUGAGAAUUUGUGAGAAAAUAAGGAUCUGCUAGUUUGUCUCAGUUGUUUUACAGGGAUAAUUUAUAUGAGGGAAAUAACCGAUCCAACUUCUCAAAAUGCAGAUUGAAAGUCAUCCGAAAGGCCGGUCUCGUACAAUUGAAAUUAAGACCUGUUUGAAGGAUGUUAGUAAUGGGCUGACCACCUCCAAGGAGCUCUUGAAAGUUUUGAAUCAUGUUUGCGGUCUUGAGGAGAAGCACUCAUCAGGCUUGUCUCUUGUCUCCGCCCUUCGGAUUGAGCUUGAUAGAGCCUGCAUUUCGGUCAAUCAAUUGAUAAGAGAACAGCGAUCAAACCGCAGUGAGAUUGAGUACCUUGUUAAGCAUUUUGAGGAAGAGAAGGCAGCUUGGAAGAGCAAGGAGCGAGAUAGGAUUCGCAGUGCUAUAGCAUGCAUUGCAGAAGAGCUUGAAAUUGAGAGGAAAUUAAGAAGACAAACAGAGAGAUUGAAUAAGAAGCUUGGGAAAGAGUUGGCCGAUACAAAGGAAUCUCUGUCAAAGGCAAUGAAAGAGCUAGAGACUGAAAAAAGGGCGAAAGAGAUAUUAGAGCAAGUUUGUGAUGAGCUGGCUAGAGGUAUAGGGGACGACAGAGCUGAGGUUGAAGAAAUGAAAAAAGAAUCUGCGAAGGUGAGAGAUGAGGUGGAGAAAGAAAGGGAAAUGCUUCAGCUUGCUGAUGUAUUGCGUGAAGAAAGAGUCCAGAUGAAGCUCUCUGAGGCUAAGUACCAUUUCGAGGAGAAAAAUGCAGCGGUGGAGAGGUUAAGAAAUGAGCUCGAGACCUACUUGAGAGAAAAAGUAGGUGAAAAAGAUGGUGAUGGCUCUCCAAAUUAUGACAGGAUUAAAGAGCUUGAAGCUUACUUAGAGGAAAUCCAAUUCGGAUCGUGUCAACAGGCCGAGAGAGAAGAAAAUAAAGGGGGCGCAACAGGAAAUGGAGAAGUUCAUGACGGAGAUGAUUCAGCGGAUAGUGAUCUUCAUUCAAUUGAAUUAAACAUGGACAAUAACAGCAAGAGCUACAAAUGGUGUUACGCUUCCGAGGACAAUUCGAAGUGGUUUUCAGGAGGUAAAGAUUUCAAGGGAAGGAAGUCGAUCUCCGAUAAUAUUCAAUGGGGAAACAUUUGCCUGCAAAGAAGAAAUUCCAAUGGUAUUGAUGGUCUUGGCCGUGACUUGAUCAGUGAAAAUCAGGCAAGACCAGAUAUGCCCGAUCAGGAAAGGGUAGCCGAGCUUGGUUUCAAUUCUCAAGCACAAGGUUAUGAAGAUGAAAUUAGGAAAUAUAGGUCAGUGAGGACUCUCAAAGACCACAUAUUAUCUGGCCCUAAAAGAUCACCAAUACGAAACUUUGCUAGUCCUACGCGGCUGUGGGGGCAAUCCUUGCCUUUUCAAGAGUCUGGCAGUGUAGUUUCGGAUGGUUCACCUGUGAUACAAGGGAAUAAUUUGAAGCCCAGGAUAGCAGGAACAGGAGGUAAUUGUCGAACUUCAACAAGCUCCAGACAUUAAACAUUCUAAAUUAUUAUUAUUAUUAUAUUUUCCCUUUUUGCAGAAAUGCAGUGCUUGCAUUUUCUUCUAAAAUUUCAAGCCUUCCCGCAGUAAAUACAAAUCAUAUACAAGCUAUAGGGAUCUGAGAUCACUUGUCAACCAGUACUUAUGUAUUCUUAUUAUUCUGCUUGCGUGGAAUACCAUUCAUGAUCUACAACAAGCAUAUCAUAUUUAUAUAUGAAAAGCGAUUGCUCAGAAGAUUAGUCCAUGCAAAUGGAACGCAAAAAUCAUGUUUCGAACAUUUUUUGAUAUAUUAAGUUCUCUCUGAUGAGAAAAUCAAGGGAAGAGAUUGACUUAGCAGAUGUAUUCAGGAAACGAAGCGUGGAAGUAUUUCCUUAUCUGCCAUCCUAGACAAUUUUCUAUUGAAACGUUGAGAAAUUUUAAUAAAAAUCAUUUGCCUUUUUGGUUGAAUAAUGACAUCUAACUGAACCUCUGUCAGGUUAACAUGGAGACAGCCAACUUUGACUAUAAUUAUUGAACUUCAUAAUGUUUGAGAUGAGGUCAGUCUGCAGUAGAUCGUGUAGUAUUCAGAGACCAUUAACAUAUUCAUAUGAAUUUCUUGGUACUCGGAACAUGUUUGGUAAAUUUUCUGAUACCAAGGUCAGUACUGUUCUGGCUCCCUACAGCAUAGUUUUUUUUUUUUACCACCACAUGCAAAUUGACUCUUUCAAGCUAGGCCCCUGUAUUGAUGAGUGAAGACUCAAGGUUGAAAUAGUUGGAGGAGCCCAUAAGUUCAAUCCCGAUAGUCCCAGGUAUCAAACAAAAAGGAAUUUACUUAUGCAAACUUAGCUUCAGCAUACAUACCUCAGAAAAAACUAGUCCAAAUCGAAGUCUUGGAGGAAGAGUUUAUAGACCAUCUAUGACUCUAAGCUGCAGCACUUUAACAGCCAUAAGAACGCAACACACUUUUCCACGAGAGGCUUGUGGAUAGAAGAAUGUACAACAGGAAACAUACACCUGACCUUUGUGAUGAUCAUGGUGUCAGAACCAGCACCUAUCCAUUUAUUAGUGACGAGGAUGCUCCGUUUUUCGUGUUGAGCAGUAUUAGCUUGAAAGUGAGAGCAUGGCUAUUUACGAGAGGCUUCAGUUUUUGCUGAUUCUGAUGUGAACAUAACUGCAUUUGUUGGAUGGUCCCUCACAGUCAAGCUGAGAACUUCAGGUCUUGAGUAAUGUCCAACCACAUCAAAGUCAAAUUUUGCCCUAGCUAUUUCUCCAAGAUCUGGUCAUGAUUUUGAUAAUUAUCAAUAUCAGAAUUCUUCUCGAAAAUAAGAACACAACUAAAGCAAUCCACUUUCAAGGGAUGCCCUUAAUAGUAACCGAUCAUAAAACAUUUACAGUUUGUUACACAACCGAUAUUGACAAAUGAAGAACAGGGAGAAUUUCUCUGACCCAUCAGAACAUACUUUUUGUGAGUGAGUUGAAGUUUAAGCAUUAACUUUUUCACAGUCAACUAUGAUUAAGCCAGAUCAGGUAGUGAUAGACACUUCAAGCCCUAACAGUUGAAAUUUGCAUGAUUUCCCUUUAGCAUGUAUUCUGUCUGUCCCAAAUGUUUUCCACACCUUUCAUCGUGCACUUUAUUCUUUUAAAUUUAAAAAAUCACUCUUUUUAACAUCAUUACCGACCUUUCUAAAGUUAAACAAAAUUAGCGUUCCAAGAUUGCAAGAAUUCAAACAAUUUAUGGUGAAGCCAUGAAACGAUCAGUCAGGUUCCCAUGCAAGGUAAUAAUAUUGGAAGGGAAUAAAAUGUGGAUGAAUGGAGUAAUAACUACUAAGUGUUGUUUGUAAGCACUUUGGCACUAUUCAUGACAUAACUCAAAAUAGAGGAUGCCUUUUUUUCUUUUUUUUUUCCUCUCUCUCUUAAUGCUUUAGUGUGCUCUCAACCAAAUAUAUCAUUCAUGCAGAGAUUCGAGAAGAGAUUGCUAAUGUCUGUUUCCAGUGUCUCCUUAAUGUAUUCGGAAACCAACCAUCAUAGCUACUUAGACUCAAUUUCUCUAACAUCUUCACUUAUAUUUGAUUUGUAUAUUCUCCUUAGAAAAUAACAGAAACUACUCUCUUUGGCAAGCAUUAGUAAGAAUGAAGUUUGAUGGCAUAUAGAAGCAUAAAAGCUUAAGAUGGAAGUGACAAUUUACAUACCUAGAUCUGCAGAAAUCAGUGCCUCCCCAUCAUAAUUGGGUCCAGCCAAAACAGUUCCCAAUGGUGAUAUAAUAACACUGCCUCCAGCACAGACAACAGAAUCGGGUGUGAGGUCUUCUUCCACGCCCAAAAAGACAUACUCUGGGGGAGGUGGGUAAUCCUUCCUCCGGCAAAACUGGUUGGCAGAUAGUACAAAACAUCCUCCCUCAAGAGCAAUGUGGGUCAUCGUUGCUUGCCAAGUAUCCCUGGAAUCAGCUGUUGGUGCACAAUAUAUUUCAAUACCUACAACAUAAAAAAGUAUCACGAGUUAAUGAAAAGGUACAGAAGAUGCAGUCAAAAUAGAGAAUUUAAAACAUAAAGCACACAGCAAUCUGAUUCAGCCAAACAAUAACGAGAAAUAUAUCAUAUUGAUACUAGUUAUAGUCAAGCAAUGUAAAUAACUUUCCAUGACCUUCAAUCACUACAACGAAAAAAUAUGACUUCAUAUCACUUAACAGCUCAUGUCUAAACAGAAUGAGGAUAUACAAACUCCACUAGAGUAUUCAAAUUGACAUUGACAAUUCUAGAACAUGAAGAUUACAUGUUGCUGUGAGCAAACUACUAUUGCAACUAUGGGAAUGAGCAGCCUGAUACUAUUAAACUCCAAAAUGCGAUAUCAAGCACAGGCAUGGACAUAGAAGAUGAACUACUUAGCUAAACGUUCAAUAAAAUCUCAACAAACGCAUAAAUGCACAGAAAAAGAGAUGUUGGCAAUGAUCUAUGCAUUCAACUCUAUCCUAGCACAACUCUGAAUCAGCUCUUUUAAUUGAGCUGAUCUUGCAAAGUAAGCAGUGAAUAAAACUCAAAGCUCGGAUCAAAAUUGGAACACGGCACAGACUAAACACAGGAAGACACAAAAACACACACCCAUUAUGGAUCAGCCACUCAAGCACACAUCCACACAGGCAUUCAUCUGUUGUCCAGCUAAAACUGUCAUCCUGAGAGGGCCACCCAAGAGUGAAUGUACUAAUGCAGGAAAGAUUCUCACCCAUGCAUGAAUUGUAGGACUAGAAGUGCAGUUACUCUUAGAGAGAACUAUCAGAAUAACUCACCUUUACCAUACAUUGCAGUCCUUAGGAGUGGCAUUCUAUUUUCCCAACAGAUAGCGGCACCAAUUUUCCCAAUCGGAGUCCCAAAAACCGGAAUCGUUGAUCCAUCUCCAAAACCCCAUACUAUACGCUCCACCGCCGUCGGCAUAACUUUCCUAUGCUUCCCCAUGUAAUGACCUUGAGAAUCAAAAAACAACACGGUACAGUAGAGUGUAUAUCCCUCCCUCUCAAUCACACCCAUCACCAAAUACACCUUAUACUUCCCAGCCAUUGCAGCCAAACGGUCAACUUCUGGACCUAUAUUUUACAUAAAUCACCAAUAACCACUUAAUUAAUCAAAAACCAAACCCUUAAUCAAUCAACUAGCAAACCCUUAAUCAUUCAACAAAAUAAAUUCAUAAAAGGAAAAACUUUUAGUCUUAUUCUUACAUACCAGGAACAUCAAUGGCUGAAGCAUGAUACUUUCUGAAAUCCUCUCUACCUUUAGCUGUACGACUACCAAUGGUAGCACCAAAACUUGAUCCUCUAGGAUAACCACCAAUAAAUGCUUCAGGAAACACAACCAAUUGAGACCCAUAUCCAGCUGCUUCAGCCAGAAAUCUCUCAGCCUUAUCUUUACACAAACAAGAAUCAGAACUUAGAACAUGACAACUAACAAAAGAAAUCUUCCUUUUCUUCUGGGGCAUAAAGAAUCGAAGUACCUAGAGUGGCAGGAGUGUCAUAGAAGACAGUGGAGGCUUGGAUAACAGUGGCACGGACAGUCGUUGCUGAAGAAUCGGAACACAUGUCUACUUCUGCAAAAAGUGGGGUUUCUGAUGGUGGGGCAGGGACAAGAGCCAUGUUGUUGGUCUGUGUGGAGAGCGCUGUUGGGUCUGCUGCUGUACUUGUUGUAUGAAGUGAUGAUGAAACUGGUACAGUUGCUUGCAUGACUCUUCUAUCUCGCUUCUGUUAGGUACAAGAGAGUUCUGGAUUGAUCAAGCUUCUUGUUAGGGAUGGCGAAUGCCGAGUUUCUUUAUAUUAAUGUAUAUAUUGACUUCAGGUUUUCAUUGCAGCUCUAAAGACAAAAUUAUUGUGGAUUGUUAUACUAAAAUUUAUCUGAGUAUGAUCGUAAUUAAAAAAAUUACGAGAAUGCUUUAAUAUUUUUCAUAUUACUUUUUCUAUUUUUUAUUUAAAAAACUGUUGGCUAUGCUCCAUAUAUCCUAGUGUGUGGUUGGCACCAACGACAUUAAAAAAACACGUGAAACGUCUUUUAAUAAUUAAAUCUAGCCAUACACUCUCUAGAUAGAUAAGCAGACAUGCUCUCUUCCAUAUGAUACGGUACAUGUAAAGAUAUUAUGGUUGGAUUAUCGUUGAUGAUCAAUUGUUUGUGUUUUUUUUCUUUUCUCUCAUGACAACUAAAAUGUACAAUUGUUAUCUGUUUGUUUGUUGUUUGCUUGGGUCUGGCAAUCAAACUAGACUCCAGCUACUUGAGUUUGGGUAUCAUGCUAGACCCAAGGUCCUUGGGUCUGACAACAAUACCAGACCUAAGAGCCUUGGGUCUGACAACCAUAUUUGAUGUCAGAUCCGAGCGCGGGCUGACAAUCAUGUUUAGUGUCAGGCUAAGGCGUAGGGGUCUGGCAUGACCACCAGUCCCAGGCGCGGGUCUGGCAUGACCUCUAGACCUGGGCUCUUGGGUUUGGCUUGACCACUAGACUCAAAGAACUUAAAAUAUUCUCUAUACUUUAAUAUUUUUUUAUAUUUAAAAAAUAAUAUUGACCCAUUGCGAAAUGCGAGCAAAUACAGAGAGAGAGAUUUGAGUAGGUUUUUUAAUCGAAUUUAUCAAUAUUUAUAUUUCACUUUUUUUUUCAUUUUUCUUCUUUCUUUUUGCAAAACUUUAUAUUAUCCAUUGAUUUUCUACAAAAUCUUUAUUUUGGAAGUUUUGUGACCACAAAAGUUUUGAUUGGAAGGAUGAAGUGUUCUUGGCUCUUAUUAAAAUCAACGCAAAUUAAAAAAUGAGUAAAUUAUAGUUAGGUCCCCGUUUUUAUAAUUUUCAAGUUAGUCCUUUUAGCUUUAAAAAUCAUAAAUUAAUCCCUUCUAAAGUUGACCGUUGAUUAUUUUUCUAAAACACCGUUUUCAAACGCAGAAACGAGAUUGCAAUGUAUUAAGAAGUUUGAUUUUAAAGAUAAUUUUAUAAAUUAAAAAAACAGAAGUAUUAAUUAUUUAUAUUUACGAUAUAUAUUGGUUUUCAAUAUUAUGAUCCACUGUAAAACUUUUAUGAUGAUAUUUUUAGAAUUCCCUUCUGAUAGUACAUGUUUCUUUCUUUUUUAUAUAUGCUAGUUUUUUUUAUGUGUUUUUGUAGCUAAGAGAUUUUUUUAAGUGCGAAUCAAAAAGUUUAUGUAUAUUUGUAAUCAAACAAAUUGAAAACUAUGUGAGUUGAUAAUUUAUUUUUAGAAAAACAUUAACGCUAACUAAAAAUAAAAUCAGAAAAAUUAAUAGACAAAUAUAGAUCAAGAUAUUUAAUCUUACAAGACAUGAUAUUUACUCGGUUGUUUUUUCUAAAUCUUCUUAAUCAAAAUAAUUUUUUUUAUCCAAUCAAAUGAUAAUAGAAAAAAACAUACAGAUUAAAUUGUUUGAAUAAGAUAAAAGGAAAAAAUAUUAUGCAAGACUACACAUAUUAAAAAAAUUAUAUGAUUUUUUAUUUUAAAAAAUAAAGUACUUCUAUACAAAAGAUUAAAAAAUCACAGAUGAGUGAUAUUAAUUAAUAAAUAAAUUUAAAAAUUGUUUUUUUAAAAAAAGAUAUUAAAAAAGGUAUCAAUAAAAAAAAGAAAUUAAAAAAAUAAUAAUCUUGGUGUUGUGGCUUAACUUGUCAAAUUCAUGAUCUAGAUUAAGGACUCGAACAAGUUAAAUAAUAUUUUUUUAUCUUAAAUUUAUAUAAAUAUAAAGAGGGCAAAAAAAAAGGUAAAAAAAUAACAGUAAUUUAAAAGAGAUUUUAUAAACAAAAUAAAAUAAAAGAAAAGUGUUAAUCUAUAUAUAAAUAAAAAAAAUCUUGGUUAGGGCCCACGCACAUGGGCCCUUUUUUUAUGUUGUCGUCUGCAUCAUUUUUUUGAGAAAAAAAAAUCAGGUACAUCAUCAUCUGCUGCGGCAAAAAACAUAUGGCCUAUUUUUUCCAGAAUUUAGUUAUUGUGGUGGUUAAAAAAUCAAGCUAGAUGGUUCUUUGUCUCGAAAACCUAUUUUCAACUAUUUUUUAAUUCAAAACACUCAAAAAACACCAUAAAAACGAUAAUAAACCUUUUCACAGCCUCUAAAAUCCCAGAAAAGUCUUAAAAUCAGCAAUCAAUCCAAAACAAAAAAUCUUUCUAAUCUCAGAUUUGUGUUUUAGAAAAUUUCAAGGUAAAAAAAUCACAUAAUAUGAAUUCUCCUCAUCAAAUGGAAUCAUUUGAAGAAAAAAAAAAGAUGAAUCGUUUUGGUGGCCUAAAUCACAAAAUCAUCAAUCAACCAAGAACAAAAAAUCUUUUUGAUCUUAGAUUUGUGUUUUAGAAAAUUUCAAGGUAAAAAAAAUCACAUAAUAUGAAUUCUCCUCAUCAAAUGGAACCAUUUGAAGAAAAAAAAUAGAUGAACCGUUUUGGUGGCCUAAAUCGACUUCAACAAUAUUUUCUCCCUUUACACCGGAAUCCGACAACCUCUAUCUCUCUCCUCUCUCAAGUUAGAGACUAAAGAAUAACAAAAAUAAACUUUUAUACCAAAAUAAAAUUAAUAAAAUACUGAGGUAUGAAGCAUUUAUAGUUUUUAAAAUAUGAGGACUAAGUUAAACUUUAUGUAAUCAUCACUUAUUUAUAGCGUCUUUUCUAUUUUGAUUCUAAAUUUUUUAUUUUUCACUCUUGGCCAAUACAUUUUAUUCAAUUUCCCUUGAAAUUGACCCAAAAGGAUGCAAUCACAAAUAAAAAACAUUUGAGAAUCAAAUUAAAAAAUAUAAAAAUUACAGAGUCCAUCCAUAAUAAUAUACUAAUAUCGACAAGAGCAACAGAGGAACACAACAGCUGUUCAAGGAGAAAGUAUAAUUUAGAAAACAAUCUGCAGAUAAUUUCCGACAUGGCAAAAAAAAGUGAGUAGGAAUUAAAUAAGAUUCAAAACACUUAAUUUAUUUUGAUAAUUAACUCUUUAAUCACGAGAUGUUUCAUGCAUGGUUACUUUUUUUUAUCCCAUUUCCGAUAGAAGAUCUCUUCUGUGAUAUAUCUGGGCACAUAACUGUUCCCAUAGUUUCUCUGUGCCCUAAAAUAAAUCCCAUCAUCCCUCACUAGCCAAAUGAUUUCUCUCGUGCCGGUCAAUCCCUGUAGGUUAAAGUUUUUAUUCUUCUCAUGAUUAUCUGCAGACCAGAACACGUCGAAAGAAGCAUAACUCUUUCUGUCCUUGGACAUGGAGCACCAAAACAAUGUAGUUGCCCAGUAGAAGUUCUCUACGAAACGAAACACGAACCGGUCCUUGCUCUGAACAUGGUGGGGGCCAAGAUCAUCAUCUUUAGACUUGCAGUGCACAAACAACCUCUUGUUGUGGCUCAAUUGAUUGACGAUAUUUACUUUCCACCCCAUCUUUUCAGUCCACAGGUCCCAAGCUGCGGAGGAGGGAGUCAAGGCAUUUGCCAGGAGAAGAAACAACAUUAUUGUAUAUUUGAUAUCCAUUGUUUAAACCCUUCUUUUUAUUCCUAAAUUUAUUCCCCUGCCUGGUGUCUCAAAGCACUCUCAAUAUAUAUAUAUAUAUAUAUAGUAAUUAAUGGCGUUACUUCGGUCAUGCAAUAAAUAUUAUUAAUUCUCAUUUCCGGGUUCCUUUGGAAAAUAAUUAAAGCUUACUUCUCUCUCUUAGCGACAUUAAUUAAUUUCUAGAUAAUAUCAAUUUAUGAUCUCAAAAAUGAUAGCGGGUUGAUUAGAUUUAAUAGAAUAUUUUUAUAGCGUAUUGAUAUUAUAUCACGAAAAACUCUUUUGAAACCCAUUUUUCUUUGCUUCUCUUUUAUGCUUUAAGAUUUCAAGAGUUUCUUGACUUUUUUUUUUAAAUUGUCAUGAUGGUAUUUUUUAAUUUUCUUGUCGUAGAUUUGAAGAAAAAAUUACUUUAAGAUUUGAAGCUCUGAAGCACUUCAAACUAAAUCUAUAUUUUUUAUUUAUUGUGGUAGACAUGCAAACCUAAAUGGGAUCUAAAGAUAUAUUCAUUUUACAGUUAAUUAAUUUUCCUUUCCUUAUUCUCCAACACGCCACCAAGUUCAAAAAACUUCCUGCUGUGAAUUUUACAUCUAAUUGUGAUAGUUGUGAGAAAGAUUACAAGGUUUUUUACACGUUGAAACUCUUUAAUAUCGAUUAAAGCAACAGAGAAACUCUCAAUUUUUCAACUUUUAUUCAUCAAAGUUAAUCAAGAAGAUAUUUACAUAAUUUGAAAUAGACAAAAGAAAUUAAAGAAUAUUAUUUUACUAAAUGUGGUAACUAAAUAAAAAUAAUUUUCCGUAAGGAAAAAAAGAUAAAAUCCUUAAGUUAUUGGUAAUUCCUCAACAAAAGCAUUUCCUAAUUAAAUAAAGUUCAACCUCAUACAAAAUAUUUACAAUUAAAUAAAUAUAUAUUAUAAAUUAAUGAAUUAAAUAAUUAAACAAAAAAUCAAGAGAUUUACGUCCUGCAUCACUUGUUUGUCCGAUCAAUGUACAUAUCAUAUAUUUAUUAUUUCUUUCUUAUUCGAUUCUAAUCAAAACCAAUUAGUUAAUUAGAUGUAGUAAAAUAUAUUUAUUAUUAAUAAAAUCUUUUUUCAUCUUUAAUAUUUAUUUAUAUUUGAUUAAUGAAUCUAGAGUAAAUAUAAAGUUCAUGAAAAAAAAACUUUGCAAAGAAAAUUAUAAAGUUAUUAUAAUUAUAAGAUUCAUAUUGCAUAAAAGCAUUGUUCCUAAAUAUUUCUGAUCAAUAUUAUUCAAUUAAGAUUAGAUAUUAAUUAGACUUGUUGAGACCAAUGCAUUUUAUAUUUUUUUCUUUUAUAAAAGGAAAUAAUCGCUCUCAUAAACUUGACGUAUAUAUGAGGGAGACCUGAAACUAAUAUACAGGUACUUGUCAUAUAAUAUGUACACUGAACUUAACCGCAAGAGAAUCUCAUAUGGAGAGAUCAUAUAUAUCUAUGGAAAGACUCUCAUGAUAGUUGUGUAAGUGAUUUUUAGACUUUAGAUCACUAAGUUAUCUUAUAUAGUGAGUGUUAUGCUUUGAUCUUGACUACACGUUAUCAUAAUCAGGGGUAACAAAUGAGCAGAUAUUGGGUAUAACAUAAACUAUAUAAAGAUAUUUGAGUAAUCAAGAGAGGAUUCAUCAUCCUAGGUGAAUUAGAGAAAAUGUCUAAUUUGUUCUCAAAUAGUAUUGAUUAUGAAAUCCUUGGCUAAGGUAGAAUGUCUUUUGAAAAAAAUUUUAAAAUCUUAUUCAAAUAAUCACUGACUAUUAUGUUGAGAACUAAAAUGAUUUAACAAAGUAGACAUACUCCAUGCUAUAAUAUUUAAACCGAAACAUUCAUGAUGAAGGGAUAGUAAUUACACUGAAAAAUCAGUCACUAAAAGGUUAAGUCAAACUACUUUUGACUUUCCUAAUAUAUGGGAUCAUAACAGAUUGCUAAAUAUUGUUCUUGAUCUUCAAAUAUAACAAUCAAUUAUUGAAUUGACAAUAAAUUAAAAUUUUAAAUUUAUUUAAUCUUAUAUUAUUUAGAAUUAUGAUUUAUAUUUGGGUCAACUUAUUAGGAAAUCUAAUGGGUCACACACAUAAUAACCAUUGAUAAAAAAUUAAAAUGAAAUGAUUAAUUAAGUGUGACUUGAUUGUCAAUAAAUUUUAGAAAUUGAGGACUAGAAUGUAAUUAAUAAAGAAGAUUACAAUUCUAGACCUAGAAAAAACAAGUAAGGACUUGAUUGAUUUUUUUUAAAUCAUCCUAAAAUAAUAUAUAUGAUAUUAUUUAAAAGGCAAAUUGAUAUUUUGUUAUUUAUAUGGUUUUUUUAGGUUUUCCUAUGAAUAAGAUGUUAUGCCUAACAAUCUCUCUCUUAAAAGGGUUUAGUAGAUUUUUCACUGGUGGUUCAUAUGGAUUGUCGUUAGAGACUGGACACUUAGACGACUUAUGGUUUGCGACAACCCAUUCUUGAAGCAAAUAUUCAAUGUAAAAAAAAGUAUAUGAUCUUUAGAUAAUCUUUCCAUAAAUCCUAAACAACUCUAAAUCUGUCUAACGAGAUCCUCAAGACUCUGAAAAAAUUUAAAUUUAUUAUUUUCACUGCAUGUAAGUGUUUUGAGAAACCUAAUACAAACCCCUUCCAAAUAAUUUUGACAAGAUAAUUUCUAUAAACUCCUUGCAUCUUAAGAAAUUACUUUCGAACCAAUUCGCCAAUAAAAAUAAUCACUCUUGUACUAAUUCACCCCAUUUAUAACGCACCAAAAUAGGACCUAAAAUAGGUUAUCUCUAUUCUUUUGAAAUCCAAAAGAAAAAAAGAUGUAGUUAGAAUGCAUGGAAUUAAUUUCUGACGUGGGGAAGAGUUUAUGAAGGGAAUAAGAUUAAAAGGUAGUACUUAUUUAAUUUGAAAAUUAACUCCAUAAUUAUGAGCCGUAUGGUUAUCAUUUUUUAUCCCAUUUUUUGUACAAAAAGACCUUCACGGGAGGUUUGGAGAAUAUACAACUGAAAAAACAAGCUUCUCGUCUCUUCAAAUAAAUCCCAUCAUCUCUUGCUACCCGGAUGACGUUACUGCCUACGGUAUCCUUCUCUAGGUCAAUGUCCUGAUUCUCUCUGCGUAGAAAUCCAGGCCAGAAGACGGUGAAAGUAGCAUCGAUUUUCCUGUCCCGGGACAUAUAGCACUUAAAUAUUGUUGCCCCGAGGAAGUUUUCCAUGAAACUAAACUUGAAUUCAGCCUUAUACUUGAGAUUGUGAUGGCCAAGAUUGUCAUUAUAAGAUACGCAAUGCAAAUACAACACCUUGUUGUGGCUCAAUUCGUUGACAAUAUGCACAGUCCACUUGAAGGGAUUCCAUAUUUUGAAAGCUACAGAGGGGCUGACGGCGAUUGCCAGAACAUGAAAGAAUAAUAUUGCAUGUUUUUUUAACCAUCUAGUAGGUGUCCAGUGGUAAGAGCUUGGAAUUAAAGAGUUUGCUCUCCCUGUUAUCUCAGGUUCGAGCCUUAUGGUUGCUAAUAUGAUGACCACUAGAGGCUUACAUGAUCGUUAACUUCAGGGCCUGUAGGAUUAGUCGAGGUGUGUGCAAGUUGGCUCGGACACCCACGUUAAUAAUAAUAAAAAAAUAUAUUGCAUGUUUGGUAUGGAGGGAACUCAUUGUUUCAGCACAUUAAAUUAUUAUUUUUUUCUUUUUAUACCUCAAAGAAAAUGAUAAAUCAGGCAUGCAUUAUACUUGGAAGCAUCGUUACAAUAAUCAAUGGCAUUUCGGUUUCCCAAAAAAAAAAAAUUAUCAAUUCUCUUUCCAUUUUUUGGAGCCAUUUUUAAACUCUAGAUAAUAUCAGUUUAUAAUCUAAAAAUGAUAGCGUAUUAAUUAGAUUUUUCAAUUCCCAAAACCCAUUUCUAUUUUUCAUUUUUCGAGGACAAAAACCGUGUCUAAUUAAUCUAUACAUAUAAUGAAAUAAAUUAAUCACAAGGCUAUACAAAGAGUUCGCAAUUGACCCAUAAUUCUUGUUCUGUGAUUGACUAGGUUUAAUUAUGUCAGGAUUCAUAAGAAGAAACUAAUGAAAAAUGCAAAAAAGGAAAGGAUUCCAUAUAUAUGGGCAGCAAGCAUUCGUAUGUAAUAAUUUUUUUUUUUUAAAAAAACAGAGAUUUUGUGUUAAAAACUGGAACCGUAAGGAAAUGUUUGCGAUCCUCUUCAUUUAAACUAGGAGGUGAUGAUUUGUGGUAGUAUUCUGAAAGUGAACAACAGUUAAAUAUUUAUCGACAUUGUUUUUUUUUUUUUUUUUGUAAGUGAAAGUUCUAUUUGUUGAGAUAGAAAAAAGUUUUUUAUAUAAAAAGGAUUUUUGCUUAUAAUUCUUGUUUAACUAGAUAAUAAUUUUUUAUUGAAUUAAUGUUUAGAAUAUUUAUUGGAAUUGGAUAGUUUUAACUUAUAUUAUAACAAAAGCUAAAUAGUAUGGAGUUUUCACUGUUUAUCAUUUUAUUGUUCAUCAAGACACAAGUCAUUGUAGAUUGGAGCUGUGUAAUAAUAUGGUUGUCCUUACCAAAGAAACUUGUUAGGUAUGCAGUUAGGGGUGAGGUUGUCUUUUUCAUUGGAUACAUUUAGCAUUGAAAGAUGGUUGGAGACAGAAAGGUCCAUUCAAGUUUUUUGGGGUCUGCCGCUGGGGUAUGACAUGACUACCAGAUACUAGGCACUGAUAUCAGGUAUGUCUGUCAGACCCUAGGCGCUCGGGCCACAUCAGCGCGCCUGGGUCUGGCAUCACACAUGAUUGUUGUUAUUAUUAUUAUUAAAUUUAAAACAAUAUUAUUACUAUUGAAGAGAACCAUAUAUUUGAUUUGAAGGGUAAAAUUAAAAACCUGUAAGAACUUGGGUUAGACAUGUUUAAUAUUAUUAUAAAUAUUAUAAAUAUUAUUAUUUUCAUUAUUAUUAAUAAAUUUGAAAAAAAAUAUUAUUACUAUUGAACAAAAACCAUAGAUUUGAUUUGAAAGGUAAAAUUAUUAUUAUUAUUAUUAUGCAAUCAUGUUUGGUCUUGUAAGGAGUAAUUAUGUCGAUGAAAGGAGUUUCAAAAGUCCGGAACAAGAUCAAAGAUACAUUUGCAUCCAAAACCAUCCCUUAUGACCAACUAACAUAUGGUGAGUUAGUCAGCUUUACCCAAAAGAAAGGUCUUAGGAUCGGCCAAGACCUUAAGCUCCAAAAACACUUAAAGUGGGAAAUGAAGCGAACCUGACAGGAACUAGGAAGCUUCUGCCAACAGUUUGACCUGUCUAUAUAAAAACCCUUUUGUAGUGGAAACUGCUCCAAGUCUAAACCACAUCCAAAGCUUAGUAAAUUGUAUUACGAGAAAUCAACCCACAUAAAACAUUUCUACCCCAAACCAGAACAACCUUGCUACAAAAAAACCCAUAGAAAAUUUUCAAAAACCGACAAACCUUCAUAGUCUAAGCCCAAACUCAAGCUUGACUUAAAACACAUUACCUGUUGCAAAUGUGGCCAGAAAGGUCAUACUUCCCGAUUCUGCAAAGUAAACACAAAAUUACAUGAGCUCCAAAUAGAUGAAGAAACAAUCAACCAAAUCCAAAAUCUCUUCAUUGAGUCUUCUGAUACCGAGUCAAACCCUUCAGAUACUUCUUAAGAAACUUUUCAAGUUGAUGAAUUGGCAACUGCUAGUUUUGAUUCCAAGACUUCAUCCCACUCAAAACAGCUCAAUUUUUUAACCAGAGACCAAGAAUUCAUCAUUGAAGCCAUCAAAAGAGUAGAUGAUCUCCAACUACAAAAAUCCUAUCUAGAUAAGAUAUUGAAUAAUUUCAAAGCCUUAAUAAGAGCAAAAGGUUGUUCUUUGUUUGGUAUCAGAGCCUACUGGGAUCUAGGUAGAGAGAGUAUCUUAAAAGUCCAUGUUCAUAGUAGAGAGAAGAAAUUAGAAGUAUAGGUGAACGCUACUGAAUGGUAAGAAGUCCCGUUGAGUGAUGAAAGGGCAGUAAACCCAUAUAACCUACGACCUGUAUUUUGAGUUUUGUUUUCUAAUUAUGGAUUCUGUUUUUUUCAGAACAACCUCUAUUUCAUCUUCUUCUACCUCUGAAUCUUCUGAAAGCAAAAGAAUUAUCAAUAGUGAAGAAAUUACAAUAGAAUAUUUUACAAAAAGCAUUGAUGAUUGGAAAAUCCCUAAAGUUUCAAAAACUCAAAUUUAUCAAAAUUUCAAAUUUGAUCUUUUCAAAACAGAUUUCACAAUCAAAAUUGAAGAAAGAGAUAUUCAGCUUACAAAACCUUUUGAGACCAUUCAACUUCUUUCUAAAAAAUCCUUACAAAAACACCAAGACCGCAACUACAAAUACAUCCAUUUUUAUUCUGGUACAAGUUGGGAUCAAACCCCUUACCAAAGAAGGCCUUAAUACUUCCAUCCUAGCAGUUCUAAGAGAUGCUAGAUUCCAAAACUUCCAAGACUUCUUAUUAAGUUCCAUCGAAUCUAACCUAUGCAAUGGGCCAGUUUCCUUUGAUUGUUACCCAAACCAUACUAUAUCCCUUAAAGACUGAAAUAUUUUAUAAAGCAUGAUCCUACAGAUAAAAACUCAUAAUUACAACAUGCUUGAAGGAUCAAUCCCAGUGGCCUUAAUCUUAAAAAUUUAUUAUAAAGCCAUGUUCUCAGCUUUUGCUAGCAAACACAAAUUCCAAUCCCAAAGAGGUGAAACCUUACUACUCCAAACUGACCUUUCCAAAUCAAACACAGUAGUUCCUAGAGCCAUCUAGUGGAAGGAUGUAACCCUUUCAGAAGAUUGGAUCCUUGAAGGUGCAACACAACCAGAACCAUAACAAAUACCAAAACCAAAUGUUCAAAUAAAAGAGAUAACCCAGUACACAGAUGGAAAAGUCAAAUUAUCUUUCCAUCGACAUUCAACUAGUUCUCGGUUUUCGGAUGUAUCUUCCUCAUCCAGCACUAUAGAUCUAGGAAGAGUCUCUAAAAUUCCUUAUGUCAUAAACAUACCAUACCAAAUGAAUCCACCUAGAAAAUCAACCUCUGAUAUACCAAGUACUAGCUUUCAAAAUGCAGAUUACACUAUAAAUAUACCUAAAUCUUUAUAUACAAACCCUGAACAGCAAUCCCCUCCAACCUCUCCGACUUUUUCCUUAAUCACAGAAAACAUCCAAAAUGAGUUGAAGUUUUGACUUCAGAAAAGGAAUUUAUAAUUAACAAAACCUAUUUCAAAAAUGAUUUUUAUAGCAACCAUAACUCUGAAAAAAGAGCUUGGUUUUUCAAAACCUUUUUACAACAAAGACACGAGAUGCAAAAGUGUUUUUAUGAUUUCAUUACAUUACAUAAAGUUCAGAUCCUAUUUUUCGAUUGGUUUGAGUUAUAUUAUGCAUCUGCACAUCAUAUUACAUAUCCAUUCGCAUCAACAAAACAUGCAUGUCCCAUAACAUCUAGAAAUAAAACUUCUGUUUGGGAACUUGCUAGUGGUCCUUCAAUCGAGUCAGACCAUCCGCCUCUAAGGAACCUCAAAGUCCCUCAUAAAGACCAAAUAGUUGAAGCUGCUCCCUACAAAAUUCCCGGUGAAGAUGUUACUAUGAACACCAAACAUAUUAUCGAGCAAAAAAACUUAACCGAUACCAACCUCAAUACCAUAAGCUACAGACCUCAAUAAUAAUAAUAAUAAUAAUAAUAAUAAUAUUAUUAUUAUUAUUAUUAUUAUUAUUAUUUUAAAUUUUACUAUUCAAAUCAAAUCUAUGGUUUUUGUUCAAUAGUAAUAGUUUUUUUUUCAAAUUUAUUAAAAACUAUAAGAACUUUGAUCAGACAAGUUUAAUAUUAUUAUUAAUAUUAUAAAUAUAAUUAUUAGGUAAGUCAGAUCCCAGAAACUUGAGUCUGGCAUGGCCGCCAGACCCAAGGGUAUUGAGUCUGGCCGGCCACCAGAUCCAAGGCUCUUGGGCUUGACUUGACCGCCAGACCUAAAAGAUUUGAGUCUGAAAAUGACCGCCAGACUCAAGAGAUUUGGGUCUGGCAUGACCGCUAGAUACAAGUCUUUUUUAAAAAUAUUUUUUAAAAUGUAAAAUAUUUUUUUUAAAAAAACAAAAUUAUUAUUGACCCACUGCAAAGCGCCAACCAAUAUACUAGUUUCUUCUAUAAUCUCUCACAUUCAUGUGCUCACAAUAUUUUGUAUGCACAUGAAGUUGUUCCAUGACCACUAGAUGAACCUCCUAAGAUUUUCCAAGCACUAUCCCUUAUGCUUGCUUUUAUAGUUUUGUUUUUGUCAUUGUUGACCUUAUCCUUGCAAAUAUAACAGAAAUUAUAAAAAAAACGUUCAGGUGCGUGAAUCUCGAGCAAGUCGGCUUCCUAGGGAUUUUAUUUUUUGUUUUUUUGUUUUAUCAUUUGAAUUUUUUAUGUUUAUUUUUCUUGUUAAUUCUUUUAUAUCAAUUUCUUCAUUUAAUACUUUAUUUAUUUUGAGUAGAAUUGGAAUAUAUAAUUUGUUUUAAAAAAACAAAAUAAUGAAAACAAAAUAAAAAAUAUCAUUACUAUUAAAAAAAAUUUAUAAAUUUUAUUUUAAUGGUAAAAUUAAAAAGUAGUAGUACUGCUGCUGCUACCGCUAUUAUUAUUACCACUACUGCUAUUUCUACUACCACUGUCACUGCGCCUAUCACCACCACCACCAUCAUUUUUUGUAUGCACGUGAAGUUGUUCCAUGACCUAUAGAUGAACCUACUAUGAUUGCCCUUAUGCUAGCUUUUAUAGUUUUGUUUUUGUCAUUGUUGAGCUUGUCCUUGCAAAUAUAACAAAAAUUAGAAAAAAACGUCCAUGUGCGUGAAUUUUAUUGAGGCACAAGCACGUUGGGUCAAGCAAGUCGGCUUCCCAGGGAUUUUAAUUUUUAUUCUUUUAUUUUUUCAUUUGAUUUUUCCUUUUUCUAUUUAUUUUUCUUCUUAAUUCUUUUAUAUCAAUUUCAUUAUUUAAUAUUUUAUUUAUUUUGAAUUGAAUUGGACUAUAUAAUUUAUUUUGAUUUGAUAUUUAUAAAUUUAUCAUAAUUUAAAAUAAAUACCUUGAUAUCUAGUUGAUACAAACAAAAACAAUUUCAAAAAAAUAAAAUAGCAAAACAAAUUAAGUCCAUCACCCAGCUUAUAAUUAUAUAAUAAAACAAAAACAAUUUAAAAAUUAUUUAACACAUUGUCAUGAUUCAAAUCAUGAAUUUAAAUAAUUAAAUUGUGAAUCCUAGAUGAAUUCAAUAAAUAACCACCUUGAUAUUUUAAAAAUAGAAUUAUGUCAUCUUAUAUAUUUUUUUCACAAAUCUUUUGUACGAUCACUUUACAGUGACGAGGACGGGCUGCUAAGCAAUUAUGGUCUAACCAAGGUGAUUGAUUCCACCCCUAAUGUCAGGUUGCAUGUGGUAAAUAUGGUCUAACCAAGGUGAUUGAUUCCACCCCUAAUGUCAGGUUGCAUGUGGUAAAUAUGGUCUAACCAAGGUGAUUGAUUCCACCCCUAAUGUCAGGUUGCAUGUGGUAAAUAUGCCUGAAGCAUGCUCGUCUCCAAACAAUGCAACGAGGCCUGUUUGUUGUCGGGCAUUAAUGUUAAAAAUGGUGUCCUGAAGUGUUAAAAUCACAACUAUUCAUAGAAUAAUGUCUUUUAGUGGUUGAAUGAUUGAUCGGUGAAGUGCCUUUUUAAAUAUAUUUUUUUAAUAUUAAGAUAAAUUUUCUUGAUGAAUGCUCUACACUUGUUAAAAAUCCUUUUCUAGUGUGUUUGAAGCUAUUUUAAUGAUAAAAUCACUAAUCUUGUAAAUAAAAUGAGUGAUAAUUACAUUUAAAGAGUUUUAAAUUAUAAGAUUUAAGUUGUUGUUGCGUUAAAUUUGUAUCUUUUUAAAGUUAAAAAAAUAUUUGCUCUUUACCAGUAAUUCAAGAGGUAUUUAUAACUAUUGAACCUUGUUUUUAUCUUGAUUGGAGAGACUUGAGAGUAAUUUCACAAUGACAACAUUUAUGAUGAAUAAAAUAUCUCUUACACAAGCAUUAAUAAAAAUUAAUAAGUAUCGACAGAAAAAUAAAAAAAAAUAAACUUAGCAUAUAUUUUUCGGCUUGGAUUUCAACCUGAGCCCAACCCUUUUCCUAGGUUCGGGUAUUCUAACUGAGCCAUUAAAAAGUAUUUGGAAAUGGAUCAAAAUAUUUUGAGUCCAUGGCCAUUAUGGGUAAAAAUCUUGAUCCGUCAUGGUGAAACCAGGGUUCUCUCAACUGCUUCCAAACUUUUAUUAUAAAACCUCGAUUCACCUGGCAGGUUAAUUAGAGUUUCUGAGUCUAAAUUGAUCCAAGUUGAAAAAAAAAUUGAUUAAAAAAAAUUCUUGACUAACUUUGUCAAAAAUCAAAGUCAAUUUACAACUCGGUUAAAACUUAACCCGUUAAAAACUCAUCCCUCAAUCUAUUGAUUUUAUUUUUUUUACUAAAUUUUUUUUUACUAUGCUGUUUUGAUUCCGUGAUUUGAGUCUUGUUGGAAGUCAAUUCCGGAUCAAAUUUUCAACUAUGGAUAUGGCACUGUAUAAGGACUGGAAUUCUGAGUCUAUAUGUUCAAAUCAGAGUGAUAACAAGUAACAACCACGGAGUGAAAGUUGUAGUUUUGAUUUGUACUAGAGUACAUGAAUAUGCUAAUAGAUAUAAACUAGUCCUGGGUUGUAUAAUAUUUUUUUGAAAAAAAAAUGUAAACUUUUCAAAUAUUUUUUUAAAAUUUAAUUAUAAAUUAAAAAGUCUAUAUAUACAAUUAAAUAUAUUGAGAAUUAUUUAUACUAAUAAAUACAAAAAACAAAGUAUUAAUAUAUCUAUUCAACUUGUCUCGUUGCAGGUCGAAUAAAUUUAUUUUUAAUAUAAAAAAAUUAAUGUGUCCGUGUUAUUAAUGUGUUUUUUGAUAUUAAUUAAAAAAAAUAUAACCACGAAUCAGCUGCAUUGUUUACCCUCUCAUGUUUAAGAGGAAAAUAUUUGAGGUGAACAAUGUAUAACUGCAUUGUUUACCUUCUCAUGUUUUAUUGUAGAUGGUAUUGUUCACUUUUUUUUAAGUUUGCUAUAAAUUUAAGGAGAAAAAAAUAUUAAACCUAAUUGAGUUUAUAGUUCGGGUUCAUCCUAAAUAAACUAAAGCGUGUGAGGUGAAUAUUGUGUAGUCGCACUGUUCAUCCCCCAUGUUUUACUGUGCACGACAUUAUUUACUUUUUUUUUUAGGUUUGCUAUAAAUUUAAAGGGAAAAAAUAUUAAACCCGGUUAAGUUCAUGGUCUGGGUUCACCCCACAAGUUUUAUUGUGGACGACACUGUUCACUUUUUUUGUUUAAGAAAAAAUAUUUUUUUCUCUAUUUUUUUAAAAUUAAUUUUAUUUUUACCUAUAUUUAGAUUAAUAUUUUUUAAUUUUAUUUAAAAAGUCGAUUUAAAAUAAACAAUUAUUUUUUAAUUUUUGUACAUGAGAUGCCUUCCAUGUGGACAGGUGCAUUCCAUGCAUGUGGACAGGUGCUUGAGCAAUAGGUGCCUUAAAGAUGGCUAUAUUAGGGAAGUAUCAUGUGCUAGGAAAACACAGAGAGUGGCUACCAGGGGAGCUGGUACUGAUUCAUGGGGAGUGUUUCACUUGUCUCAGCAGCCCUAAGAAGGUAAUUGAUUUUCAAUUUGCUUUCUUUGAGUAAAUUAUUCUUUAGUUCAUGUGGGAUUUGAGCACUAUCAUGGCUUCCCUUCCUUGGUUUUUGUUAACUCUAGUCAUGUUAAAAAUAUAUGUUCGUUUUCCCCUAAAUUCUCACUAUGUUCGAUUUUAUUUAUGAAUUGAAACGGUUUCGGGAAAAACCAACAUGGUGAGAAGUUAGAAGAACAAAAAAAUGAUGUCUGAUUUGCUUAGCUAGAGCCUACACGCUAAUCUCUUGCAGGUAACGAAAGCUUUUUGCUGGUGUUGUAGGCUAGAAGGCAAGGUGGCAUUGAUCACUGGAGGGUCUAGUGGCAUAGGAGAGUCCGCUGCUAGACUGUUCGCCAAACAUGGAGCUAAAGUGGUGAUUGCAGACGUUCAAGAUGAACUAGGCCACUCUGUUUGCGAAGAAUUGAAGACUGAAUCAGCCUCAUUCGUCCACUGUGAUGUUACUCAAGAAAAAGAUGUUGAAAAUGCUGUUAACACAGCUGUUUCUAAGCAUGGAAAGCUGGACAUCAUGUUCAAUAAUGCAGGAAUAGUAGGCACGCCAAAACCAAACAUACUUGACAAUGACAAGGCUGAAUUUGAGAAGGUCAUUAGUGUUAAUGUCGUGGGCGCAUUCUUAGGCACUAAGCACGCAGCCCGCGUAAUGAUCCCUGUUCGGCGAGGUAGCAUAAUCUCAACCGCUAGCGUUUGCGGAACAAUUGGAGGUGUUGCAUCACAUGCCUACACAAGUUCAAAGCAUGGCGUGAUAGGGUUAAUGAGAAACACAGCUGUGGAGUUAGGGCAGCAUGGCAUCCGUGUAAAUUGCGUGUCGCCCUACGUUGUUUUGACCCCAUUGGUGAAGGAUUUCUUUAAGCUGGAUGAUGAUGAAGUAAAUCGUCUUUACUCUAAUCUGAAAGAAGCAGUUCUGAAAGCAGAAGACAUUGCGGAGGCUGCUCUUUUUCUGGGGAGUGAUGAGUCCAAGUAUGUUAGUGGACAUAAUUUGAUUGUAGACGGGGGCUUCACCAUUGUUAAUCCAGGUUUUUGUAUGUUUCCACAAUCUAUUUGAAUCUGGAUUUAUGAUGAAAUUAACGAUGAAGCCAUAAAUUUAAGCAAUAAGAUAAGUCUUCUUUAAUUUGAUAAUCAUUUCAGUUUCAAGAUAUGUUAUUUUUCGACGAACUCUUUCCACCUUCCCUUUUCAGGCAAAACUUGCGGUCAGAACAAGAUGGCAUUGUUAGAAAUUAAGUCGUAAUACACCCAAAAUCACAAGCAAUUUUUUUGAAAAAAUUGUAGCCAGAAGUAAUUUUCUCCGUGGAUAUUUUCUUGAAAAAAAUUAUUUCUGGGGUACUAUCAUUUAAUAAUAGAAAAACUCUUGCUUGAAAAAGAGUGCUGACAAGCAAUUCUCUAAUUGUACUACUACUACAGCAGCCACUCAGGACAAACACAAAGUGCUGGAAGAUAUUGACUGAGUGUGGAAGUUUUAGUUUUGAUUCGUGCUGGAGUACAUGAAUCUGCUAUUUACUCUGCUCCUAUGAUUCAAAGAUUUAGAUUUUUUUUAAUUAACGUACAUUUGAGUAUAUUCCAGCAGUUUGCACCCACCUUAUUAAUUUUAUAAACUAAAUUAAUAAUCCAAUUCUUUAAUAACCUUAAAAUUUAUAAGAUUCAAAUUAAUAAUUUUUAAAAAAUAACUUGAAAAGUUAAAAUACACCCUUUGAAUUUUAAAGAUAUAGAUAUUGAUAUACGCCGUGCUGAGUUUGAUAUAUUUUCACAUCAGUGUUCUGUUUUUAAGCACAAAGCAGAGAAAGAGAAGUGUCUUGGGACUUGGGAGAGCGGACAAAAUCCUGUAGUCUUGGGACUUGUUCAAUUUCUAAAAUCUAUGGAGUGUGGACCACCAAAAGGCAAAAUUCUCAACAAAGGAAUAAGAGAGGACAAAACCCUAAAGGCCAAAUUCUCAACAAAGGAAUAAAUGACAGAGUAAAAAUGGCACGAGAAAGAAGAUAAGAUGUAGACAUGAUGAUUAAAGAAAGUAUUUCAAGUGUUCAUUUUUUUAGUUGCAUGAUUAUAAUAAAGCAUCAUGCCUAAAUUUGACUAAGGCAUCGAGUAAAUUAUUUUGAGCACUAUCAUGGCAUGGCUUCUUCGAUUUUUGUUAACUUAGCAGCAUGUUUUCAACACUCCUCGGCUUGGUCCAAACCAAGACUGCAGAUUCAGAAUUUCCUUGUCGAAUGGCCUGUUCUUCUGUCCAAUUAAAAACAUAUCUUCGUUUUUCUCUAAAUUAUAUUCUCACUAUGUUUGAUUUUAUUCAUGAAUUCAAAUGGAUUAGGGAAAAACCAACACGGUGAGAAGUUGAAAGAAAAAAAAAUUGAUGUCUGAUUUGGUUAGCUAGAGCCUACAUGCUAAUCUCUUGCAGGUGAUCUAAUGAAAGCUUUUUGCUGGUGUUGUAGGCUAGAGGGUAAGGUGGCAUUAAUCACUGGAGGGUCUAGUUGCAUAGGAGAGUCCACUGCCAGACUGCUCGCCAAACAUGGAGCUAAAGUGGUGAUUGCAGACGUUCAAGAUGAACUAGGCCACUCUGUUUGCGAAGAAUUGAAGAUUGAAUCAGCCUCAUUCGUCCACUGUGACGUUACUCGAGAAAAAGAUGUUGAAAAUACUGUUAACAGCUGUUGUUGAAAAUAAACUAGAUUUUUUGUUCUUUAAAAUCAAGAUGAACAGUUGAGUCGGCAAAAUUACUUUCUAGUUAGAAUAAAUUUCUUGUUUGGUUCGAUUUUUUAUUUGCUUAGGACUUUAACUUGUAAUCAUAUUCAUAAUAUAGGCUGUUUCGUGUCCUUUAGGUUACUAGUCAGCCAUAUAUAGCAACUUGAUGAUGGCUUCAUGUGCAACAGUGCACAGAAAGACUUUCACCCUCUCUAUACCUUUCCAAUGCCAUAUGAGUCUCCAUAAAGGAUCUUUGUCGCGAUGUGCAUCCAAACUGCUCUGUUGCAGCCCAUAAGCUGAUUUGAUUGAAAACUCCCCACCUGAAGAUAAAUGCCAAUUCAUAGAGUCCCUCUCCAUGUCCUAUGCUGGUGGAGGACAACCAGCCAAAAUCAUCACCAUUUGCAGAGGCAGCGUGUGGGCAAAUUUGUCCCAGCACAGAUGCUUUCCGUCAUUUGCCAUGUCUGCAACUGUUAAAUUAAUCAUGUUCACUGGAACCUCUUGGAUGGAAUGGUUUAUUAAGGGGCCAAACCCAUCCAACCAGUUGUCUGUCCAAAAGCGAACCUGUGGCCACAUUUUGCAAAUGGCCUGUGAUUGAUCUUCCGAGUACGAAUAGCAACAUCAUGUACUAACUACUCGUACUUGGAGACUUUCAUGCCCUGUAAAUAAAAGAAAUCAUGAUGAUCACUUUUUAGUGGAUGAAUUUUGAGUCCCGUUAUAAUAUUGGAAAACUAGAUGCUACUACUUAUUAAGAACUUAUAAUUAUUUAAAAGUUUUUAAGUAUAGGUUUAUUCUCAUUGGGUUCCACAUAGCUACUUAAGAAUUAAUAUAGAUGAUAGACAUAGUACCCUCAAUCUUUUAAAAAAUUUUCAAAUAUAAAUUAUUGUUCUUUUGUAUAUGAAAGAUUUAUUUUAGCCCAAAUGCAUAUUUUUAUAUAUUUUUUCUGGCUUCCCUUAUUUUUAUACGAACAAAAUUCAUUAUUCUACCUGAAUUGAGAAAUUAAUUAAAAUCUUUAUAUAUUAUUAUAUUGUAAAGAUUAGGGGCUAUAAAUGAACCAAGUUUAUAACAAUAUAUUUUUAUCAAAACAACACUGGAUAAAUUAAGAAAGAUUAACGAGUAAAAAUUUUCUGAAACACUAACAUGCAUCAAUGAAAACGUGCUGCGGCAUGUAAAAAGUAAAAAUAGAAGUACAAAGUAACAGGGAAACCGUGAGUUUCCUGAAUAGAAGGCCUAGGAGUUGUUUGAAUAGGUUUUCUAACCGUCUAUAAAUUACCAUCUUAAUGCUUGCAAUUUCCUUCUAAAUAAAGAUUUUAGAACAACUUUUCCUCUAAUUUAUUUGUUAUUAUAAUGAAAAAUCACGUAGCUAUAAAACUUGGUCCAAUAUGUGAAUAAACCCAGUGACCCCAUCAUCUAGAGUGACAUAUUUCAUUUUGAAAUUUUUUUUUAUCAAAAAGAUGAUAUUCUUAAAAACUAAAACAAUGUAGUUAUAUAUUUUUUAUAAAAAAAAAUCUCAUAACAACAUUGUUUUAAUUAAAAAAUUAAAUUGACUCGAUAAUUUAUAAAUUUAUUUGAUGAAUGUACGAACAGGGUCUUUAACCGGGUUAGAUCCAAGUAAAAUAUUUCGACUAUGCUAUGAAUAAUUAAUGUAGAUGAGAAAGCCAAUGCAAUUAUUUUCAGCUUUCAUUAUUUGUAGGGCCAUUCUAUUUUGUUAGCCUAUGCGAUUUCAAGGAAGAUGCCAAUGUGAUAGAUCCAUUGUCUGAAAAUGAUGGCAACUUACAAAGUAGUGGAGAAGAAACGAUUUCUGUGUCGACACUCGACUGCGACUUCCAUUAAAAGAAGAGGCCAUAACUUUAAGAACUAAGAUAAUCUUCUUUAUAGACUUAUUUCAUUCUCAAGAUUUCUAGUCUUGAUCUGAAAAAAAUAAGAAUCUACUCUUACUUGCAAGAGCAUACCUAGCUCAUCAAAGUGAUCAAAUUAACAUGGGAAGUGUCUCGCUACUUUCUACAGUUGCAAGAAGGUAAUCUUAGUUUUGUUACCUUCAACACUUUGAACUAGCUAGCUGAGAAUCAAUCGAACCAGAUUGCUGUAAAAUAAAUGAAACGUUUAGCUUCUGAUCUGAUUUGUUCUUUUACUUCUUGAUUAAGAGAUAUAUAGACUGGAACUAGCCAGAUCAGUACCAUCUGUCUUCUGCUUAUCAUAUAGAAAGAAAUGUAGGCAUUAGGCACCUCAAACAUGGAUAUAAUGAUUCUCAAUUUUUUGUAUUGUUUCAAACUCAUCUUUUAUAUAAAAGAUUCUUGAAAUCUAUAGAGUGGCUUAGACUUCAAGAUUUUCAUUGGGUCACUGGGGGGCCUCUUUGAGGCUGAGCUAUCUUAUUGAAUUAGAUUUUUAAAUCUGAGUUCUAUAUAUUAAAGAAACUUUAAGUGGUUAUUCAAAUUAUUAGCAUGAAGCACGUUUUUGACAUGGCUGCAUUAUGUGGCCGUCGUGUGGAAUUUAUAGGCUAGAAGGUAAAGUAGCGUUGAUCACCGGUGGGGCUCGUGGCAUUGGAGAGUCAACUGCAAGACACUUCUUCAAACAUGGAGCAAAAGUAGUGAUUGCAGAUACUCAAGAUGAGUUGGCUCAUUCUGUUUGCAAAGAUUUGAACUCUGAAUCUGCUUCUUUUAUCCAUUGUGACGUUACAAAAGAAACGGAUGUAGAAAAUGCAGUGAACACAGCCAUUUCAAGGCAUGGCAAGCUAGACGUUAUGUUCAAUAAUGCUGGCAUUGUAGGAGUGGUGAAAACCAACAUGGUUGAUGUUUCCAUGUCUGAAUUCGAGGAAGUCAUUAGGGUUAACCUAGUAGGUGCUUUCCUGGGCACUAAACAUGCAGCUCGUGUGAUGAAGCCUGCUCGACAAGGCAGCAUCAUAACAACCUCUAGUGUUUGUGGUAUUCUGGGAGGUUUUGCAUCCCAUGCCUACACAAGUUCAAAGCAUGGCGUGUUAGGGCUAAUGAGAAAUGCAGCUGUUGAGCUUGGACAAUUUGGCAUUCGUGUAAAUUGCGUCUCCCCGUACACUGUUGCAACUGAAAUGUCAAGAAAUUUCUUGAAGAUGACUGAUGAUGAAAUUCGCAGUGGUUAUUCUAACCUUAAGGGGGCAAUUCUGACGCCUGAAGAUGUGGCUGAAGCAGCUCUCUACUUGGCAAGUGAGGACUCCAGAUAUGUGAGCGGCCACAAUCUCGUGGUAGAUGGCGGCCACACCAUCGUAAAUAAUGGUUCAUGUAUGUAUGAUAACCCAAGUGUGUAUGGUCUCUGAUCUCUUGAUGCCACAAGGAUCCUUGUACUAGUUAUUAUAAGAGGCUUUUUAGGAUAGAUUAGUAGAGCAUUACAGACAAAUAUUUGUUUUUGUUUUUGAAAAAAAUAUUAAAUUAAUGUUUUUAUAUUUUUUUUAUGUGUUGAUAUUAAAAAUAAAAAAUAUAUUAUUUUAAUAUAUUUUUAAUUAAAAAAUACUUUUAUAAAAAUACAUAUACUACAUUGCCAAACACAUAACAUCAUUAAAGUUUGGGAUGCGUGAAAAUUAGGGAUCGAAAUUGGGAUUAGGUAGUAUUUUAACUUCAUUUAAUCGAUUUUCGGAUGUGUUAUUUCUGAAGGGACUUUUAAGAAGGAGCCAAACUUCUGGUCUUAGACUUCUAGGAAAGACUAAAUGAAAAAUUAAAAAAAAAAUCAUAAUGGGCCACAAUGACCGAAGAGAUGCUUGGAUAUUUUGGAAAGACUUCGUUGGGUCACUUUUUUCUCCCAUAUUAACAUACACUAUAAAGAUUUGGCUUUUCAUUAUUAGGUUUUUUUUUUAAUUUUUAAUUUUUUUUCUUCAAUUUUCAUUUUUAUAUUAUAUUUAUUGGUAUAGAGCUUCAUAAUUUAUUUUCUAUGAAGUUAUUUCGAUAUCAUGACCCGAAUUACGAGUUUUACAAGUAAACCGUGUUGAUUCAAGUUAUUUUUUUGUUCUUUUUUAAUUAUUAUUUUUUUAACUUCAUCCUUCAACAAUAGGUUGAUCAUGAAUUGAGAUUCAUAUAUAUAUAUAUAUAUAUAUAUAUAUAUAUAUAUAUAUAUAUAAUUUGCUUUUUAUGAAAUUAUCACAAUCUUAUGACCUAAAUUAUAGUUUUGCGGAUUAGCUAGAUUGACUUAGGUUUCUUUUUUUGUUUUUUUUAAUUGAAUAUUUUUCUUUCAAUUUCAUUCUUCAACAUUGAAUUGAUUGAGAAUUAGAGUUUAUAAAUUUUUUUGCUUUCCAUGGGAUUAUCACGAUUUUAUGACACAAAUCAUAGUUUUGCGGGUUAGUCAAGUUAACUUAGAUUUCUUUUUUGUCCUUUUUUAAUUGAAUAUUAUUUUUUUUAAUUUCAUCCUUCAACAUUGAGUUGAUUGAGAAUAUUUGGAGUUUAUAAAAAAAAAAUUAUUUGCUUUCUACAGAGUUAUCUCGGUCUCUUGACCUGAGUUUGACAUAUUAACCUGAGUUGACCCAGGCUAUUUUUUUUCUUUUUUUCUUAUUUUUUUUUAAUUUUAUCAUUUAACAUUAGGUUGAUUAGAAAUUGAGCUUCAUAAUUGUUUUUUUUGCUUUCUAUAAAGCUAUCAUGUUCUUAUGACCUGAGUCACAGGUUAGGUCGAUUGAGUCGGGUUUUUUUUUUAAUUUUUUUUAGUUGAUUUUUUUUUAAUUUUAUCAUUUAAUAUUUGAUUUAUUUGGAAUUAAGCUUCAUAAUUUUCUUUGUUUGUAUUUUAUGAGGUUAUUCUGAUCUUAUGACCCGAUCUCGGGUUUGAUCAGUUGACUUGGGUGGUUUUUUGUGUUCUUUUUUAAUUGAUUUUAUUUGAAUUUUAUAUUUCAAUAUUGAGUUGAUUGUGAAUUAAGCUUCAUAAUAUUUUUUUUAUUUGUUUUUUAUAGGUUUAUCCCUGUCUCGUGAUCCAAUUUUCGCAAGUUUACCCAAAUUAACUUGACUUAUUUUUUUAGUUGAAUUGUUUUUAAUUUCAUCAUUUAACUUUCAAUUGUUGAGAAUUGAGUUUAAUAAAAAAAAAUGAUUUGUUUUCUAAUAUUAGGGUCUCAUGACCUGAGUAUCGAAUUUGGUUGAUUAACCCGAGUUGAUUCGAGUUAAUUUAAUAUAUUGUUGUUUCAAUAUUUUAAAAAAAAUAUGUUGUUUUGAUUUGUUUUAAUAAAAUUAUAAUUUUAUCAAUCGUUCGGGUUAUUUUUGGAUCUAUCAAGUAAACCAAAUCACAUCAGGUUAAUCUCUAUAUAGUUUUUUGUUUUUACUAAAAAACAUAUUAACAACACUUGAAUUUUUUUAUACCUAAAAAUUUAAUCUAAUAUGUAGCGUAGCGUAAAUAAUAAUCUUGUUAACAUAUAUUAAAAAUCCCUGGUAUAUUUCAAAGGAAUUUUGCAACUUAGUCUUUAUGUUAUAACAUAAACAAUUAAUUAUAACUUAGUCGGUGGAGCAUAAUCCAACUCCAACAUUAUCCGUAGCAAUCCCUUAUAAUAAGUGAGUAAAUUAUAACUUAGUCUUUAUGUUAUAACAUAAACAAUUAAUUAAUCCAUAAAAUCUUCAAAACUACAUAUUCAAUCAUUAUACUCUUAAAUCUGUCAAGUUUUUUUUGUUAAUUACAUAUAAAUUGAAUUGAAAACAUAUUGAAGUAGGUAAGAAGGAAACUUUUGACUACAAAAGUAGGUAUUUUUGGACCAAAAGAACCCUUUGGUCAACAUUUUGACCGAGGGACUAUGUUAUUAUUCUGGUAUUUCAUGGACUAAUUAAUUAAUUUUAAUAAACUAAAGGGACUAAUCUAUCACUAUCUUUAAAAUCAACACCUUUUUUUUUUCUUUCUUUAAGAUAGAAACUAAUUAAUUUUCAAACUACUGUAGCAAAAGCUUCUUGAAUAUCAAGUAAUCUCAUUUUUGCUUCAAAAAUUCUACUUAACAAGCAUUUAAAGCCCCCCAAAUUAAACUAUUCCUGAAAAAAAAACCUUAAUUUCAAAAGGAUAGUCAUCAUCACAAAGCAAAACCCAAACAACCUGAAAGUCAAAAAAGAUAAGUUAGCAAAAACCGAUCGUGAAUUUGGACUUGGGCUUUUCUCAUCUUCUUCGAUGAUCUGUAAGUUUCUUUUUUUCGUUUAAUAUUGUUUUGUUUUUGUUUCGUAUUUGCAUUUUAUAGAUAAAAGAAUUUUGGGUUUUUUGAGCAUUUAGUAUAUAUAAGAUUGCAAGUUGAAGUAGAAGCAUCUCAUUUACUCUGGUUUCUAAGUACCCAAACAGCAUAUUAGGGCAAAAUUAGGCUUAAUUGGGUUUAGCAAUGUUCGAUUUGGGGCUGGCUUGUGUUUAGAUUAUGACUAUUUAGCUCAAUCUCAAAUGGGUUUCUUUAAAUUUAUAAUUUUGAAACAAGAAUGACCGUAAAGUUUUUUUUUUUUUUUUUUAGUAUUUAUUCUUAGAUUUUGAGCAGGUAUUGCGAGAGCAGCUUAUAAUGAUGUCUAGGCCUAUGUUACUUGUGUUUCUGUUACUGAUACUGAUAAUCACAUCCCAAUUUGAGUGGAGACAACCUCUUGUAAAUGACAUUGACACAAAGCCUGCUGUCAACCCAAAGCAGCUACAGAUUUCAAAGUGGGAAGAAGGUGUAAAAGAGAAGGUAAGGAGUGUCGUAUUUCACUAUGUUUUCUUCAUCCAUUUAUUGGGUUGGUUUGUGAAUGAAAUCAUUUGUGGUUGCAACUGUUAAAAAAUAUUUUGAUUGUAAAAUUGUAAGUUUAGCUGCAUUUAGUACUUAGAACAUCUUCCAUGCUAUAAGUAAUAUGUAUUGGUUACCUAAGCUGUUUUUUUUGGAGUUAUCAGCUCAUUGAUGUUUUGAAGUCUAUGUCUUCUGUUUUCCCUUGGCUUCCUUGAUAGGAUAAGUGUUUGAUAGACAGUCUAUGUAGACCAAAUCAGUUCGAUAACUAGUGCAGGGGUGAUCCUACUAAUUACGAUUUGCUAAUACAAUGGCGCUAGAUAAUGCAAUUUAUUUGUUGUAAUUAGAGUAUUAGACUAUGUAUGUAACAAUCUCUGCCUUCAUAGGGAUGCUGCUACUAGAUCCAAUGCGAUGUAUUGUAGGGAAAUGGAAAAAACAGCAGUUACCGCAGAAUUAUGGCUAAAGCUAGAAUGAAAUUGAAUUUAAACAAGAGAGUGAAAAAUUAGGGUUGUAGAAAACCAAAAUUCUGUAAUAGGAUCAUAGAAUACUGUUAUCUUAUUACAAAAAAAAUCAGAGAAAACUUGACAUUUCUUUAAAAUUCACUGCAUCACCAUGCCAGGUUCAAACCUGGAACACCCAUCAUUUCUAAAUCUACUCUGCUUUUGUCAAACAUCCAUGGAGGUUAUCUUAUUAUACUGACAUUCUGAUAAUCAUCUCCAAUAAAAAUUCUAGCUCUUCAUCUUAAGUAUCAAAUUGAAGACAAUAGUUUGGCAUUUUUGUAUUGAGUGGUUCUGCCACGAUAACUCUCUUGAAAGAUCUAUUAUUCAGCAAGGAUAUAUGAUCUUUUAAGCCAUUACUUUGAGAGCUCUCAAUUAAGAAACAAAUGUGAAAUGAUCGUACUGACUUUGUAUUAGUAAGUCUUGUCAUAGAACAUAAAUGCUAAUCCUUUAGUUUGUUAUAAAUAAUCCACAUAUAGAAAGAUGCCCUGAUCACAAUUGGAGGCCAAUAAUUGUAAUCAACUUCUAAUGCUUCUUUGUCUUAGUUGAUUAGUUGUUCAUAUGUGGAGAUUUCUGCAUGUAGUUCUGUCACGAUAACCUGGACAUUAUAGUUUCUUGGAUCCUGGAAUUGUAAACUUAUGUUGUUCAUUCGAGGAUAUUGUUUUUGAAUAUUUUCAUUAUUAAAUUCGUGUAAUUACCAUGUCUUUUUCGGGUUAACUAAUGUAGUACUUUGAUGUAACUGGGGCUGUUUCCAUUUUCUUAGCUUGUGAUUCUUAAAAUGGAACUUUGGCAUAUCAUUGUAGCACUCAGAUUCUAGUGAUUCUUGAGCUGUCCCUUAACAGGGAGACUUUAUCCUUAUUGUAGUUUAUCUUGUCAAGCUUUAUCUUUACUUGUUGCAGAGCAAACUCUAGAAUAAAUAGAAAAACUAUAAGAAUUCCAGUUUUGUCUCAAAAUACUGAAUUGAUGUCUUUGACUUUGCAGAUUAUCUUAUCACAAGAGAAGAACAUUCACAGGCUUAAUGAGCUUGUCCGGAGUCUUAAGCAGCAACUCUUGCAAUGCAAGUGUACUAACGAACCAAGAACUGGCCCUUCAGGCACUUUGACUGAACGUAUUAUUGAGCUUGAAAGGCAGCAGAUCCUGGAAGACUAGGAUGCGACCUUGUAAGAAUUUUGCUCAGGGUGUAUUCUGGAAACGAAAGCUUUUCCUUUUCUGUUCUCUCUUUGAAGUUCCGCCCAUGCAAAAGUCUACAUCUUAUUAUACAUCAUUAUCUUUAUUUAUCUUUUAUUAAGAUCUAUAACUAAUCAGAUAGAUUUAAAUUAGCUAGGAAUAUUAGUAUAAAUGAGGUAUAAAGAAUAAAUUAUGAAGUUGAUAAAUAAACAAUUAUAAUAAGAAAGCAAGAAAUAUAAAGAUAAAGAUAAUAUCCUAACCUCAAUCGAAAUCACAUUCACAAUAAAUAUAAGUAAUUAAAACUUACUACUGAUUGUGGACCAUGUGGCUAGUAAUUAAUUAAUAACUUUACCCCACACAUUGAAAUUGAAUUGAGAUCCAGAUCUCAAAAAAGAAAAAACAAAAAAAAAAAAAACAGAAACCUGCAAAAUGCUCGCAGAAACCAGGCAAAUAAUGGAGCCCAAUGACAUUAAGUACCUUAUGAGUGGUUAAUGUUACAAAUAAAGUUUAAAAAAUAAAAAAUAUUAUUUUAAUAUAUUUUAAAAUAAAAAUAUUUUAAAAAAUAAAUAAUUGCAAGAUGCUCGAAAACGUAAGAAAGGCAAGGCGAAAGGGAUUGCUCAUGUAUUUUCAUCCAUUCUUGUUUUCUCCGUCUCUUGUAAUUCACUGUUGGUUACGUAGUUAAAGUUUUUUUAAAAAAUAUUUUUUAUAUUGAAAUGAAUUAAAAUAAUAUUUUUUUAUAUUUUUAAAAUUAUUUUUAAGAUUAAGUAUAUCAUCUAAAAUAUAAAAAAAUUAAUUUAAAAAAAAAUUAAAAAACGCAAGUAUAAUAGCAUUUCCACACGCUCAAUCAUGACUGCACCAGAAGUACUGUCAGUAUUAAUAUCGAAUUAAAUGAGAAAUUAAUAACUUUGAGGAAAAGGUUCGACUGUGUGUGUCGUCUCUUGUGAUCUCUUGUUGAGAUCAAACCUUGGAACAGAAUUUAGAUAAAUAAAAAUGUUGUAAAUAAUAAAAAUUAUUUUAAAAGAUUUUUAUUAUAUAUUCAAAAAAAUACAAUUUAUUUUUUAUAAACAUUGAGUAUAUAUGAGGCCAUUUAUUUUAUAUUAAAGAAAAUAAGACCUUCUAAUGUUUAUAUAAUGUAGGAACCUGAUAUGUGAUACCAACCACCAAGAAAAGAAAAGUGGAAUCAUGCCUAUAAGAUUGAGUUGAGCAAGAGAAAAAUAUUUGAUUGCACCCAACACACGCGAGGUAAUGUGCUUGUAUUUUUUGAACCUUUUGUCUCCAAUAAUAAUUUGUUUUUGAUUUUUAAAUUGAAACCAUAAUUUUUUUAAACACUUGGAAUUAAUUUUUUAACUGUUAUAAAAUUCUAACAACUCUUUAAUUCCCUAACAGAUCUUUUAUUUUUUAUAAUAACUCUUUAAUUCUUUAAUUUAUUUCCUACCAAGCUAUUACAUGCUUGUAAUCUAUAUAUACAAUACACUCUUUUAUUUUAAAACUUUUUUAACAACUAUAACUUUUUUAAUUCUCUAACAAUUUUUUUAUUUUUUGAACUCUUUAAUUCUUUAAUUUAUUUACUCCCUGGCUGUUAUAAGCUAGCAGUCUAUAUAUAUCUUGCACUUUUAUAAUCAAGGUGUGGUGAAAAAACAUAGUUUUUCUUGUGUUUGCAAAGCUUGCCAAUGACCUUAUAAUAAGAAAAUAGUGUUUGUAUAUGCCUCAAAUUUUAUUUCGCUUCUGUUUUUUAUCGUAUUUUAUUACAACAUAAAAGGUGUGGUCUUAAAAAAAUAAAAUUUUAAAAAAUAUUUAGUUUUGAUUAACAUAUAAAUUAAUAUGAAAAUGCCCCUCGUUAUAGGAGGAGAAUAAAUAAUAAAGUAGAAAUUAGUUAGUAACAAAAUCUUUGUAAUUUUUAAAGUAUAACGUACGUAUUAAUUGUUAUAAUUCCAAAUUCUUGGCCAUGAGUUUUCAUACAUGUCCACGAAUCAAAACUCAAAGUAGAAAUAUGGAUUUGAUUAUUUACUCAUAAAGCCCCUCGGAGUGAAUUAAUAUUCUUAAAACUUGAACCCUCCCCAACCUCGAGCCCUACUUGAAACUCAAAUAUCUGACUGAAAUAAAUAAAUAAUUAAAUAAUUAAUUUUUUUAAAAAAAAAAUCAAAUGUAUAGAAAGUUAAUUAUAUACUAAAUAGUUGUAAAUUAUAACAUUUAAGUUUGGUUUUCAGGCUCUAUAACCUGUCGAAAACUGAUCGGAUUGGUUCAGGUAUUAAAAAUCCAUACAUCUUUGAGUUGGAUUCGGAUAGUUAUUUUGAAUUCAAAUUAAAGUAUAAAUAAUACCAAACAUGACCAUCCAUCUUCAUCCCUAAUUACAUGUUACUCCUUAUUAAUACUCGGGUAGCUUGGUACCAUAAAUUGGUGAAAAUAAUUAGGGAAGUAAUGUAGAAAAAGAAGUGUUAGUGCUAUCAUCUGGCCUAUUUAGUAACAAAUUAACCCGUUUACUCAAGCAACCUGCACUAUAUAUACACUAAGGGUUCUAUAGUCGAAACUCUAAUAUAUAUAUAUAUAUAUAUAUAUAUAUAUAUUACUUUUAAGAGAUAUAUAGGAAAAUCCCAGUUUAGAUCCAUUCAUUUGGCUUAAAAGGAAAACAACAAAUCAAUUUUUUUAUACAAUUAAUAUAAUAUGUAUAAAAAACUAAAGAAAAAGUAUGAUCUCUUCUUUAAUAUAUGUUCAAAAGAAGUUCUCUAUAACCUUUUGCAAUUAUGAGAUGAUCCAUCGAUGUAGAAGUUUAAUUGUUUCUCAAUGCCGCUUUAUAUGAUUAUUUGUAAAUUUGUAGCACAGAAGGAUUUAAUGAUUAGAUAACAAUAUCAAAUUAAGAAUUAAAUAAAUUAAAAUAUUAUAUAGCUCUUUAUUGAAAUUAAACUAGCCCCGGUGUCUAUGCUUUGUUGUGGGGUUAGAUUUUUCUUUUUAUGUAUGUGAAAAAUAAUGUUCAAGUGUUGAAAUAGGGUAAAAAAAUAAAAUAAAAAACUAAUCAUGAUAAACUUAUAGCUAUAUUAAUUAGGGCUGAGGUAAUCAACCUGUGAUACCCUAUCAAACAUGCGGCCUCGAUCAUGUAAUUGAAAUAACUCGAUAAAAAAAUAAAGAGAAUUAUAAAGCUCUUUAAAAAAAAACAAACGUUUUAACUUGUUAAACUCAUGACCCUAGUCAUUAGACCUGAAACACCCAAUUUGAAAAAAAAAACCCAUAAAGUUCAAUUCUCAAUUAAUCAUAUAUUGAAGGAUGAAAUUAAAAAAGAAUUUCAAUUAUACAAAAGAAUUUUUAAAAAAUAGCAAUUAAAAGAAUGAACAAUAAAAACUUAGAUACAAAAUAAAUUUUAUAUUUAAUUGAAGGGUGAAAUUGAAAAAAAAUCAAUUUAGUAAAAGGAAAAAAAUAAAAAGAAUGGGGAUCAAAAUUGAUAUUAAAAUAAAAAUGAUAUUGUAAUUAAAGGGUGAAAUUGAAAAGAAUAAUAACUUCUACAAAAGGGCCAAGAAAAAAAUUAGAAAUCAAAACAUUGAGGACCAAAUUGAAAAAUAUAAUACCAUUAAUUUGAAUUGAAGGAUUAAAUUGAAAACCUCCAAAACUUUUACAAAAGGACCAAAGAAAAAAAAAUAGAAAUCUAAAGAAUGAGGACCAUAUUGGAGAAUAUAAUAUUUGGUAAAUUGGAAUUAAAGGAUGAAAUCGAAAAUAAAUAAAACUUCUACAAAAAGAUCAAGACAAAAAAUAGAAAUAAAAAGAAUAGGGACUAUAAUUAAAUUACUAACAACUAAGAUGGUCAAGUUGUAAUUUUCGGGGGAAGAGAGAAAAAAGAAUAAAAGAAGACUCAACAAUGCCAAACUGGACCAUCAUCGGUGACACGCGCCAACAGGAAGAGGACAUAACAACACUUAUAACGACACGACAUAAGAUUAUUUUUGGACGCUGAGAGGUGCCACAUGCACUACCCGUAGAGCGUGAGCACCUCCCACACACCUUGCACAUGUCCUUCUUUGUAUUUUCAUUUAGUUAAAUAUAGAAUUGUCCAUGAGCUGACUUUAUAAUUAUAAAAAAACCAUUGUAAAAAGUUAAAAAAACCCCUUGUCUCAAGGUUUUAAGAUUUUUUAUUCUAAUAAUAUUUUUUUGUUUCAUUGUGCAAUUAAGAUGAGAAAUAUAUAUUUAUCCAUGUUAAAUUUAGAAAUGAUAAAUGGAUCAUAUAAUUUUUUUUAAUGCUUUCAAAAGCUAUAUUUAAGUUUCUUAGAUAAAAAAACAAAAUAUCAUUAUACUAUACUAGUAAAAUAUAUCUAUCCAUCAUCAGUAGCUAUUAGUCAUUGUGUUGGACAAAAAAAUUAAUGUGUGUUUGGUAUUGUGGUAGCUUUUGUAGUUGUGGUUUGAAAAAAAUUGUUUUAUAAAAACUAAAAAGUACUUUUAGUUGAGGUUGAUUUGGUAUUUAAGUAUGUUUGGUUAAAACUGUGGUUGAAAUUGAGGUUGAACAAAAAGUACUUUAAUAUGUUUGGUUAAGAAUGCUUUUGAAAUUGAGGUUAUAAAAUAAUUUAACAAAAUAUUUAUUAAUAUUGAUGGUUUUUAAUUUAAAUAUUGUAGAUUUAAUUAUUGCUAUUACAUCAUGAAAUAAAUAAUACUUUAUAUAAAAUAUUUUUUAUUAUUCAUUUAAACUAUCUACAAUUCCAUCACGUACGAAAUACAUCCGACAAGGACUACAGUUUCCUUGGUUUCUUAAGCGCACAACAACAUCAGGAAAAAUAUAACCAGGAACAAAAUUGGAAUUGCAAUUAAAUUCUGAAAAUGCUACAUCAUCAAUAAAACACAAUUAAAAAUAAAAAAUAAAAUUUAAUUUAUUUUUACUGGAUCGGACUCAGUUCAAUGUAUUUAUCUUUAAAUCGGACCCGAUCCGGUCGGAACAAUAAAGACAUACUUUACUAUUCAUGUGAAUACUAGAAUCACUUUUCACUGUUUACUUAAAUAAACAAUACAUAGUGAGAGCCCUUCACGGCCUGAAAGCAGUAUUGUACUGCUUUCAAUGAUGCUGCAUUUUCAACACAGAAAUUAAUGAGGCUCAUGCAUAGUAAAUUGAGUUUUCAGCUGUUACCAAAUAUUUCUGUAACAAAAAAAAGCUGUUACCAAAUAUUUAUUUCCUGUGGUUGGCUUCAAACGCACAAGGAACCACGGAAAUAAACGGUACGGUACCGUUGGAGAUGAACAAGGAUCGCACGAGUACAAAUUUUUGUUAAGGAUUGAAGGAGUACGGAAGAACCAUGCUACUAGGCCGCGUAUCAAGCACUCAUUCCGAGAGGGUAGGAGGAGAAAUAGACGGAGCACAGCAUGGAGAGUCAGAAAAGCCAUUCUAAGCAUGCAUGUGACGUGUUCUGAAUAUAUUCAUAGACUAUUUAAGUUUUUUUUGUCCGCGCUUUAUUGCUAGUUAAAUAUUUUUUUUAUAAAAAAAUAUAUAUUCAAAUGUUUUAUAUAAAUUAAAAUAUUUAUACAUACAUAUAAUCAAAUAAUUUAAAAUCUAUAUGGGUUAAUAAAAGAGAAAAAAUUAUUAACAAUAACUAAAUAUAAAACUGUAAAAGUCAAGAGACGUGUAUAGAUCAAAAUAUUUAACCUUGCAAAAUAUGAUGUUUACUGAAUUUGUUUAUUAAAAUUAAUUUUUUAUUUAAUCAAAUAAUAUUAAAAAUAGACACACAUAUGAAAUUGAUUAAAUAAAAUAAAAGUGAAAAAUAUUAUGUAAGGCUGCAUAUAUUAUAAAUAUUAUCUAAAAAUAAACAUUUAUUAUUAAAAAAAAAUAAAAUUCUUGUAUACAAAAUAUAAAAAAAACAAUUAUAGAUGAAUCGAAAUAAUAUUUUCAAAAAUUAAAUACACACAACACCAUAAAAAACAAUCUAUUUUUCUAAAAAAAAGGUUAAACAAUAAAAAAUCAUAAAUGAUGGAUAUUAAUUGAAAUAUAACUUAAAAAGAUAUUAGUUAAAAAAGUAAUACAAAAAAAAAUAGCCGGUGUGUUGUGGCUUAAUUCGUCAAACUUGUAAUCCACAUCAUGAACUCAACCAAGUUCAAUAAAUUUUUUCCCUUGAAUUUAUAUCCAACCUAAAAAUAAGGACAAUAAGAGCCUAGACUCAUGGGCCUAUGACCCAGUGCGCUUAGGCCAUAACAAUGAAGAGCUUAGGAGCGUUGACGUGCCUUUAAGCCUAGGCUUGGGCUUGUUUUCUAUUUUUUAAAGAGGCAGAUGACAGGUUGUCCAUCCCUAUUUUUUGAAAAAAUAAGUAGACAACGUGUCAUCUGUAAGCCUAGAUUCUAGCCACCACAGUGGUGGCUGGAAAAUCGGGGCAGCGACUCUUUUUGCUAAAAAAACGUAAUUUUUAAGUCAUGUCAACCUAAAAACACCUCAACAAUAUCCUUAUAACACCCACAAAUUAUUUAAUCAACUCCAAAUACCUAAAAAAUAGCUUAAGAAAUUGAAACCAAGAAAACUCAUUUUGGUGACUGGGAAUGAAGUGAACUACAGCCUCUCUUCUAUUCUCUCUCUAACUACAGCCUGAAAAAUAACACAAAUGAACUUGUGUAUUAAAAUUUAUUUUUUAAAAUUUAAAAAGAUCUAAAUUAUAUAAAUUAUGUUAUUUUAAAAGAUUGAUGAAGAAGUGUAUUUGUCAUGCAAUCCAUUUCAAAUUCCACUGCUGCUUGUAACCAAAAAGAUAUAGUGCGACUUCUUUGACUAGCCUUUGCAAAUUAAGGAAAGAUCACCGAAGUUUAAUAAUUAUGGAGUGGAAGGUCUGAGAAGUUUCAUGGAGAGAGAUAUAUAGACACAAAAAAGAGAAGAAAAAUGAGAGAGAUUUUAUCACUUUUUGAGAAGUUUUGCUAUGAUUCUAUCUCUUUUACGAUGCAAGCAUCUAGUAAUUACAACACCAUGAAGUGUUUGCUUUAUGUGAAGUUAAUGAGAAAUAAUGUAUUUCUCUUCAUUUUAUACUUUUGUAUCUUAACAUUUUCUCUUACAAUUAUUUAAACUAUAUUAAUUCUGCAUCCAUGUAAAUUAAUGCACAUAUAUAUAUAUAUAUAUAUAUAUAUAUAUAUAUAUAUAUAUAUAUAUUUACUUACUUUUUUUUUUUAUUAUUAUUGCUAUAUCUUUUGCCUCCUAGCUAGCUAGCUACAAGGAAUUAAUGCACAUAUAUAUUUACAUUCAAUCAUUUUCCAAACCAAAUUGUAACAACGAAAGUAGAUAGAUGGAUUAAUUAGUUAUCUUGGUAAAUCAGACCUUAAUUUAAACAUCUUCAAAGCAAUGGCAUGUCAUCUCCUUUAAUUAGUAAUUGGGCUUUCAAUUAACUUAGUUGAAUGACAAUUCAACCUCAACCACCAUUUACCAAUCAUUAACUAUUCCUCCCAUCGCCCAUUGUUCUUUAUUGCUUAGUUUCUACUUAAUUAGUGUGCUCAUUCAUUAGUUAGGUAAUUUACAUAUAAAAUUUUUCUUUUAGUUAUAUAUUAACAAAAUUUAAUUACACUUGAAAAAUUAUUAUAGCUCUAGACUUAUUGGUACCGUUCAUUAUAAAAGUGUAAGAGAGUUUUUGCCUCUUUACCCAAAUUAAAAACUUUAAUUGUAAGGGUGUUUUUGCAUCUCUAUCCAAAUUAAAAACUUUUCACUGGCUUCCAAUGACAUUAAAGUCUUCUUACCCAAAUUAAAAACUUUGUAUUGACUUCCAAUGACAUUAAAGUCUUUUCAGAUAACUUACAAGUAAGUAUUUUACUAUCUUGAUUGCAUAAUAAAAUGACCAGAAUAUCAUUGGAAGAAAAAAAUUAAACUUGGAGUCAAAGGGUAUUUUCAUAUAUUUACGAUGGUUUUUAAUUAUUAUAAUAUAAGCUGAGGGGUGAUUUAGUAUUUGAUCAAAAUAAAAAAUAAUAAACAUUUAAAUGCAUAUUAAAAUGACAAAAAUAACUUUAAAAUUAAAAAAAAUAAGCCUGAGGUCAAAGGGUAUUUUUGAUUUUUUACAAUGGUUUUUUUUUAAUUAGAAAAAUGGCUUAGGGGCACUUCUGUAUUUAGAUAAAUAAAAAAAGGACAUGCAUGUGUGAUACACCCGCGGGCGACGCCUGAUCUCGCCAUCGAAAAUUCCCUUCCGUCAUGUCGUUAGAAGAGCUACUAUGUUCUCUUCAUGUUGAUAUGACGUGUCUCCGAUGGUGGUUCGAUUUGUUGCUAUGAACCUUUCUUCUUCUUUUUCUCCUUCUCUUUAUCAUCCCCUGAAAAUUACAACGUAGUCCUCUUGGUUGUUAGUAUUUCAACUUUACUCCUUAUUCUUUUGAUUUUUUAUUUUUGGUCUUGACCUUUUUGUAGGAGUUUUAUUUAUUUUCAAUUUCAUCAUUGAAUUCUGAUUUACCAAAUAUUAUAUUUUGAUCCAAUUUGGUCCUCAUUGUUUUGAUUUUGAUUUUGAUUUUGUUCUUUUUGUAAGAGUUUUAUUUGUAAUAUGUUAAUUUUGAACCUCAUUUUUUUAAAAAAAAAUUUGAUCCUUUUAUUAAAUUAAUUUUAUUUUUCAAUUUCACCCUUCAAUUAAAUAUAAAAUUUAUUUUGUAUUUUAAUUUUGAUCUUCAUUUUUUUUAAUUGCUAAUUUUUUAAAAAUCAUUUUUAUAAUUUUUUUUUUUGAAUUUCAUCAUUCAAUAUAUGAUUGAUUGAGAAUUGGACUUCAUAGCUUUUUUAGAUUGGAUGCUUCAUGUCUAAUGACUCGAAUCUCAGGUUUGAAAAGUUAACAUGGGUUUUUUUUAUAAAAAAAAAAGCUUUAUAAUUCUCUUUAUUUUUUUAAUCGGGUUAUUCCAAUCACAUAAUAUGAGCAGAGGGUUUGACAUGAAAGAGCUUUCUAAUUAUUUUAUUUUUUUAAUCGGGUUAUUUUAAUCACAUUAUCUGGACUGCGGGUUUGAUAUGAUAUUUCGGAUUACAAGUUUGUCAUAACCAAUUUUUUAUUUUUUAUUUUUACCUUAUUUUAUAAUAUUAACAUCAUUUUUUACAAAAAAAAAAAAAAAAGUAUCAUCUCAUGACAAAACCCGGGCAUCGAGGCUAGUAUUUUCCCAAAGGAUUCCAACUGUUAUGAUAAAAAAAAAAAAAAAACUCAUUACAAAAGGGUAAA
rnacentral:lncRNA from 1 species